AAAAAAAAAGUUAGACGUCCUCUACUUUGUUGUUGCAAGUUUUACGUGGCUGCUACGGGCUGAGCAAGAACCAUUCUUACCUACGCAUCAAAACCACAACGAUAUUUCGUCAAGUUAGUGUUGUUUUAACCUUCAACAAGGACCGGGCAUAGUCACACUCGGUUCAACUAAAGUUGGAGGAGCUGACACCCGCCAGCCACCUGUGUGCAAAGCACGUCGGUAGAACCAGUCUCAUGUAAGCGUAUGCGUAAUGUCGGUCCAGGCCGCUUCAUCCAACAAUACCUCCGAACCAAAGUAUGACAUGCUGGUAAGCAGUAUGACUUGUAUCGCCCACAACUCACUUGUGUUCUACUCGUGCAUAUAACAUCUACGCAUAAACCUGGCUCGAAUGCCACUAUUGGGGAACAUAGUAAUUUCAAAAAAAUUCCUACGCACAGGCAAGAUCAUGGUGAUGCAUAUCAACGAGAGGGGAGAGUAUCGUCCACGUACCCUCGUAGAUCGUAAGCAGAAGCGUUAUGAGAAUGCGGUUGAUGUGGUCGAACAUCUUCACGAUCCGACCGAUCCAAGUACUGAACGUACGACACCUCCGAGUUCAGCACACGUUCAGCUCAAUGACGUCCCACGAACUCCGAUCCAGCAGAGCUUCACGGGAGAGUUCCGUCAGCACGACGGUGUGAUGACGGUGAUGAUGUUGCUACCGACGUAGGGCUUCGCCUAAGCACCGCUACGAUAUGAUCGAGGUGGAUUAUGGUGGAGGGGGGCACCGCACACGGCUUGGAACAAUCAACUUGUAUGUCUUUGGGUGUCCCCCCGCCCCCGUAUAUAAAGGAGCAAGGGGAAGGCCGGCCAGCCUUGGUGCGCCCCAAGGCGAGGAGGAAUCCUCUUCCUACUAGGAAAAGGAUUCAUCCUUUCCUAGUCCAACUAGGAAGAGGAAGGAGGAAGGAAAGAGAGGGAGAGGGAGAGGGGAAGAGGGUUUGCGCCCCCUCCCCUAGUCCAAUUCGGACUCCCUAUGGGAGAGGGCGCGCCACCUCCUGGGCUGCAGCCCUCUCUCUCCCCUCAGGCCCACUAUGGCCCAAUACUUCCCCGGGGGGUUCCGAUAACCCUUUAGCACUUCGGUUUUCUCCGAAAUCAUCCGGAACACUUCCAGUGUCCGAAUAUAGCUGUCCAAUAUAUUAAUCUUUACGUCUUCACCAUUUUGAGACUCCUUGUCAUGUCCGUGAUCACAUCCGGGACUCCAAACUACCUUCGGUACAUCAAAACACAUAAACUCAUAAUAUUGAUCAUCACCGAACUUUAAGCAUGCGGACCCUACGGGUUCAAGAACUAUGUAGACAUGACCGAGACAUGUCUCCGGUCAAUAACCAAUAGCGGAACCUGGAUGCUCAUAUUGGCUCCUACAUAUUCUACAAAGAUCUUUAUCGGUCAAACCGCAUAACAACAUACGUUGUUCCCUUUGUCAUCGGUAUGUUACUUGCCCGAGAUUCAAUCGUUGAUAUCUCAAUACCCAGUUCAAUCUCGUUACCGGCAAGUCUCUUUACUCAUUUCCGUAAUGCAUCAUCCCGCAACUAACUCAUUAGUUGCAUUGCUUGCAAGGCUUAUAGUGAUGUGCAUUACCGAGAGGGCCAGAGAUACCUCUCCGACAAUCAGAGUGACAAAUCCUAAUCUCAAUCUAUGCCAACUCAACAAGUACCAUCGGAGACACCUGUAGAGAACCUUUAUAAUCACCCAGUUACAUUGUGACGUUUGGUAGCACACAAAGUGUUUCUCCGGUAAUCGGGAGUUGCACAAUCUCAUAGUCAUAGGAACAUGUAUAAGUCAUGAAGAAAGCAAUAGCAGUAAACUAAAACGAUCAAGUGCUAAGCUAACGGAAUGGGUCAAGUCAAUCACAUCAUUCUCCUAAUGAUGUGAUCCCGUUUAUCAAAUGACAACUCAUGUUUAUGGUUAGGAAACAUAACCAUCUUUGAUCAACGAGCUAGUCAAGUAGAGGCAUACUAGUGACAUGUUUGUCUAUGUAUUCACACAUGUAUUAUGUUUCCGGUUAAUACAAUUCUAGCAUGAAUAAUAAACAUUUAUCAUGAAAUAAGGAAAUAAAUAAUAACUUUAUUAUUGCCUCUAGGGAAUAUAUUUCCUUCAGUUCCCUGGCGCACCGGGCCACUGCCCGAGUGUGCCACCACUGGAGCCUAGGAGGAGGGCUGCCACCCCGCCUCGCCAAGCCGUGAGAGCCGCCGAGAAGGAUCCCGCGCGCUCGUCACCGUCUCUGAUCCGAACCAAUCCAUAGCAGAUCGCCGUCACAGAUCCGCCUUGGACAGGGACUGCACCACGCCAUGCCGCCGCGGGAAGCCCCAGCUUCACCGGCCACCACCCUCCAGGGCCGCCGCCCUGGGAUCCAGACAGAUCAUUGCCGCUGCCACCGGCCAAGUUCCGCCGCCGCCGACCGGCCAAGCCGCCGGUCACUGCAUGACCAUGCGAGCACAGCCAGCCAGCUGACCAACUCCGACGAAGAAGAAGGCCACCACCACCAAGCCUAGGGCCGGCGCCCCAGACAUCCUCGUGUUGCAGAUCAAGUCCAGGAGCAGUGCACCGCCGACGGCGAUUGAGAUCGGUACCACAACAUAUUUGCCCGACAAGAGUCAAGGCCAGAUCCGCUGUUGCUGGUGCCGUCCUCCCACGCCGCCGCCGCACCAAUUCCAUGCCACCGCCGAUCUGCGCCACCGCCACCGAUCUGACCGGAAAGGAGCGCCGCCUCCCAAUCAGAUCGGGAUCCGAGGAGAGAACCGCCGCCGCCGCCGCCACGCCACAAGGGCUUUGUCCUGUGACGCCCCGGGCGACGGCGGCGGAGGGGAGUGGAGGUGGGGCGACGGCUGUAGGAGGAGGGCGGGGGCUCCCCGGUGCGGGACGGCGCCACCGCACGGGGGAGGGACGGGGGCACUGUUGAACAAAAAGAAGAAGAAAAAAAGAAUAAAUCUUGACAUGACAGCUUUCUCUGAAAAAAGAAGCUGCUUAGAGAACCGUAUUGGAAUUUGCUGCUCUACAACAGCUUCAAAAACAAGUAGUGUCAGUUCUGCUGCUAUAUUUCACAUCGCAGGACAGGUAGCUUCACAAUUGUUGACAACUGAUAUCCUCGUGAAUAUUUGAUUUUCAAGAAAAAAUGUAUCAAUCAAAAUAUUCAUAACAAACAUGUCUAGUAUUGUCGACCCUUCACUCCGAUGUCAAUUCUUGUCAGUUAAACACAUAGAUGUCGACCCUUCACUCCGAUAUCACAUUUUAGGUAGGAAAAGCAGAUCAUCGCACGCCCACUGUACUGCAAUCUGUAUCAUAGUAAUGUCUUCUUGAGGAAUUGAACUGUUGCCGUCUUUCUUAGGCAAAAGAAUAAAUAAAGAACUGUUGCUCUCUGAAUAAUGGUCAUCCUUCCAAACUUCUGGGCAAUGCACAACUCGUAGAAUGCAGAAGGCAGGCCAAUCAUAGCUGAAGAAUCAAACUGUUCCUAUCUGAAUGAAUGGUCAUGUCCCUAGUUUCUGAGCAAUACGCGACUCCUAUCCAGCUGCUGCCUUUGAUCCAACCAGGCUAAGGGGCAGCGCUUGCAGAUUACUCAAAACUUUACAGUCUGCAGCACCCUCGCAUACGUACCACGCAGCAAACAAAACAGCUAGCUGCUGCAUCGAUCGCGGCAACGGCCGGGCUGCAUCGAUCGCGCCAAGAAACGGCCGGGCUGCAUCGAUCCAAACGAUCGAGUAUGGCAAUACGUUGCUUUGUUCUCAAGACAGCGCCCCUGACUGACAGGGAUCCCCUUAAGUAAACCCUAGCUGCCUGACUACGAGGCGCGUGCAUGCAUGCAUGGGCGGGCAUUGAUGGCUGCGCCAUUGUCGAGGAUGAGCCGCGGGAGAAUCUAUGCAUCGCGAUCGACGCGAGGCAUGACACCGAUGCUUUCGCAGCAAGCGUCGGCCUGGUUAAUGGUCAUGGUGAUGCCGUGUUUGCUGGCUGUAGCAACUGAUCGAGCGGAGCCAUGCACCAUGCGUGGAUGUGCGCAUGGAAUAGCUAGUUAGGUCAGUCAGCCACUGCGUGGACACGAAGGGACCAAGAUGUAUGGUCUCUGCUUCAUGCUGUGAAGCGUACGUUAGCGUUGGCGCAAGAGAUCUUGCCUGCAGAUGCAGGAGAUAUAGUGCUCUCUCUCACGAUUCUAGAGUCCUGCGGUGAUAGUUUAAAAAUAGACUUCCUGCUGAUCUAUGCAAAGAAAACAGGAGCACUCCAAUGCUUGAUUUAACCUAUCGAGCUACGCGCUGAAAUACUGGUCAGAAGCUAGGGAUGAUAUAUAGGAGGGAUAUAUAUGGAGAGCCUCCCAGAAAGCAACAGAUCAAUUGGAACUUAGCUACAAUGUAGUAUGGAAUUUUAUGUACUCAUUUGGCUAUUUAAUUGAGAAUUCUGACUUCAUUAUGCAUGUCAUGCAAAGAAAAGUGCUCUCAAGGGCCGAAAUACUAGAUGGAAUAGUACAUGUUGAGAUUUUUAUCAUCCCCUCAUCAUGACUGCUGAAGGGAAAGAAUUUCAAAAUGUACGAGUAUAUCCUAGUAGAUGAGGAUGGAAACACCGUGUAUGAAAAACUAUUAUUUGAGUGUUUUAUGUGGUCAUUCAUCCAAAUAGCGUCCAGAUGCGGAAAUUAACAAAAACUCUACACUGCCUCAUAAACCAAAAGUUAUGUAAAGCUGUUUGAUCGACCGCCAAACACUUGGGACUCGGGAGAGAAUACUUUCCUGCAAAAUUACAGUAAAAAGAUAUUAUGUUCAAGAAACAAUGAUCUGAAUAUGUUUACAUAAAUACCAGAGACCAUGGACAAUUAAUUAACCGAAUUGCAUAUAGCAACAUAUAGAGGUCCUCUGGGUCGAAAUGAUGGGCGGAUCAAGCAUCUGGGGGCAUCCUUUUUAGAGAUGUCCUUGAAUCUAAAAAUGUAGAGGCGUUCAUCAAGUCCCAAAUCUUCCAUAGAAUAGUGAGAGCGGUCGUUGGCCAAAUAUUGGGGCCGAGACGCGGAGGAGAAGGCACAUCUCAAAUGAGUUCUAUGGACGGAGAUGCAGCAAGGCCAAGAUCAUGCCAUACUUGUGAAGCUUUCGGACAAAGGAGCGCAAUAUGCUUGGCGUCUUCAUGAGGGACAUCACACCUAGGACAAGCUGCCAAAGAAACAAUGCACUUGCACAACAGGUUGGCCUUGGAGUUUAAACGAACCCUGAAAAUGAGCCAAGUGGAGAUCUUAACUUUUAUGGGGACACUUAGAGGACUAAAUGUAACCGGAUUUGCACUCGAUGUGGUGCGAUGACGAUGUUGUAGGCAUUGCAAGCGGAGAAGGGCAGACCAUGGAGUAGAGAGCGUCCAUCAUCGGGUUCACUUGAAGGGAAAUCCCGCAACGAAGACAAAAUGGUCCUUCUGAAAAUUGUAAAUGUGAAUGUAUGCUUAUUCCUUAUAAUAUAUUCAGAAGAUACAUAUUGGAUAUGUAGUGUAUCCCUUUAGAAGUGAAUAAUAAUAGGCGCCCAUGUGCAAGAACAAUGGACUAGCCUACAAUACCCUAACUUGCGUACCAUGACUAUUGACCAAUAGGUUGCUGAGAUUCCAUGGUCAAACUAAGAGGCUAAGCUUCCAAUUAGAUAGACAAAUAAGUACUGAUUGCAUUCAUGCGCUUAUAUUCUAAGAUAUAAUAUUAAAGUAAGGUACGUGGCUGUGCAUGCAUGCAUGCGUCGGUUAGUUGGAGAGAAUUUGGGAAAGGGAAUCUUGGCUUCAUUGAGAGAGUGACCAUCAUUUGUCACUUUGCAAUCCGUUUGAACAAUAAGCUUCCAGCGAAGUGCAUCAAGUGUUGUAUACUUAAAGUGCAUCAAUCAAUAUGAAAAAAGUGCAAGGGUUGCAUCAGAGGAUAUAAGCUGCUAAUCUUGGUACAAACAUGUUAUGCUUUUAUAUAGCUGAGCUAAACUAUUCUCUAAUACUACAAUUCAAACUCACUAAUUAGCAACUAACAAUCUUGUGCCACUUUAAGCCCCACUUACAAACACAAUAAUAGGAGAAACAAAACAUUAUAGAAUGAUUCCUCUAUAGAAUGUCAUGUCUUGUCGGUUCCAAUAGAAAUUGAAAAUGAAAUUGUAUUACAGAGUAAUUUUUUAGAUUUUUUAGGGAAUUAGUAAUUGUUUAGAUGCUAUUGGGUAUCCCCAGGCCUGAAGCUGCAAGACAUUUCUAAGCUUUUUAUAAAAAGCUGGGCACCCAGUGCCUAUUUUCUAUUGGGUUUUUUUAGAUGCUCUACAAGACAUGGCAGUAAAAUGUUUUUCUAUCAUAAAUAAAAGAAGGGAAAAGGAUUUACCCUCUUACUUUUAACUCGUCAAAGUGAUUUUAACAGAGGUCUGAACUCACGUUCUAUAAUCCCCUCCAAAGAAAGGAAAUUUUUAUGUAGGAACAUAUUGGUGCGUUCAUACAAUCCAGCGGGAUCACGAACAAAUUCUCAUGUAAAUUCAAUUGUAGAAUUUUUUUUCUUCAGACGAGCCCUUCAUUCCUUUAACCCUGUCAAGUAAAUAAGUUGGCCGUGAGAUUGCUAACUGCGAUCAUCAAAAGCUUGCAAGUUAAUUUGGUGCAUGACACGUACGUGAAAACCUCCUUCAACUAUCACAAAGUGUCCGGAACGUUAAUUUUGUGAGGGUAUUCUACCUGCUACGGUCAGUUGCUAACUUAGUACGAACAGAUAAAUUUACAAUAAUCCGUUCAUCUGUGAUACUAAUCAGUUUUGUCUAGCUGAACCUCGCAUGUUGACCAGAUUCCUGUAAGAGCCAUUUGUGCAUCGAAGCGAGCGCGCUAGAUAGCGUAAGAGGCACUUCAGCCCACAAUGCAAGUAAGAGAAAUAAUCAGGCACUUCAGUCAACAAUGCAACAAUGGUUGUCUAAGUUAAUCAAAACGAGGACGGUAUGUGACAGGAACUUAUCCAGAACAAAUACUUGGGAGAUCCAAGACUCUUAAGUAGAGUGGAGAUCAGGGACACUAAUUUGUUGGCCAACCUCAUGAAUGUAAACAGGAUUUUUUUUUACGGCUUACGACGUUUAACAUCAAAGAUGGAUCUCAAGUGAGAUUCUGGGAAGUUAUUUGGUUUGGAACACAUAGCUGGAAAUGCAUUGGAGCACCCGGGAGCCACACACCCCUAUAUGAAAAUAACGUAAAAAAAUAUCAGAAAAUUUCAAAAAAUUCUGAAAUUUUAGGAUAUCAAACCUGGCUACCCAUUGUACGCUUGUAUUAACUUUCGCAGGGAAUGGGUGUCCUGGUAUCCGCGGCGCAGGAAUUAUGGUCCGAUGUACAAUACAUCCAAAAAAUAUAUAUGCAUACGAUUUUUAUUUGUAUAUUUUACUGACAAUACCACGGGCACCCAUUUCUCAUGAAACUGAACGCGGUGUACAACGGACAUCCAGGUUUCACAUCCCAAAAUUUCAAAAUAAAAUUAAAUUUCUUAAUAUGUUUUUUAAUGCUAUAUUCAUAUAGCGAUGUGUGGCACUCACGAGCCAUAAAUCCUCUUCCAACACAUAGCUCACUAAUAAAUAUCUACUCACAACAUAAGUGAGGGUAAACAAUGUCUCGGUUUCAGGCCGAUCAUAGUGUUUUGCCAGGUUUUGGCCGGGCAAAACAUAACGCAUGGAACAACUUGUGUGACCGUCUUCGGAAUAUCCAAUUCAAAGACAUACCUGAUACCUUUAUAUGAAAUUUGCUCCAAAAUGGUCUGCUCAAUCAAAUCUAUGCAUACAACUUGUUAUGAUUCCAUAUCCCAAUACAAAGUAGACAACUCAAGAAAAUUAGAAUCCCAUUAAAAAUCAUGGUUUUCUUGUGUAUAUGCAUAGAGGCGCCAUAUUGUGUGAAGAAAAUCUUUCUCAAAUGGAAUUGGCAAGGGGUGUAUCUUCUGCUGUCAGGAUGGAUCAAUUUGACAUCUUUCUUUUUUACUGCCACUUGAUGCUUGUAAUCUGCGUUGGUAUUUUCCCGAAGAGAAUAGGAUGAUGCAGCACAGCAGAGGUAAGUAUUUCCCUCAGUUAUGAAAAUAAGGAUAUCAAUCUAGUAGGAGAACCAAGCAACACUAUGUAAACAGCACCUGCACACAAACAACAAAUACUUGCAACCCAACGCGCAAAGGGGUUGUCAAUCCCUCAACGGUAUUGAGAUAGAUUAAAUUGUAUGAGAUUUGAUAAAUAGAUCUAACUAAAACACAAAAUAAAAUAAAUAAAGGAAAAUUGCAGCAAGGUAUUUUUGGUUUUAAUAUAUGAUAGAAAAUAGACCCGAGGGCCAUCGUUUUCACUAGAGGCUUCUCUCGAGAAAAUAGCAUAUGAUGGGUAAACAAAUUACUGUUGGGCAAUUGACAGAAAAGCAAAUAAUUAUGACGAUAUCCAAGGCAAUGAUCAUGUAUAUAGGCAUCACGUCCAAGAUUAAUAGACCAAAACGAUUAUGCAUCUACUACUAUUACUUCACACAUCGACCAUUAUCCAGCAUGCAUCUAGUAUAUUAAGUUCAUGAAAAAACAGAGUAAUGCAUUAGGCAAGAUGACAUGAUGUAGACAAGAUAAACUCAUGUAUGAAUAAACCCCAUCUUGUUACCCUUAAUAGUAAUGAUACAUGCGUGUCAUGUCUCCUUCUGUCACUGAGAUUGAGCACCGCAAGAUCGAACCAUCAUAAAGCACCUCUUCCCAUGGCAAAAUAAAUCAAUCUAGUUGGCCAAACCAAACCAAUAAAUCGGAGAAGAAUACAAGGCUAUAACAAUCAUGCAUAAAAGAGUUCAAAGAAGACUCAAAUAAUAUUCAUGGAUAGAUUUGAUCAUAAAGUCACAAUUCAUUGCAUCCCAACAAAACACCGCAAAAAAGAGUUACAUCAAAUAGAUCUCCAAGAACAUCGAGGAGAACAUUGUAUUGAAGAUCAAAAAGAGAGAAGAAGCCAUCUAGCUAAUAACUACGAACCGGUAGGUCUGUGCUAAACUACUUACGCAUCAUCAGAGGGGUAGCAAGGAUGAUGAAGAACCCCUCCGUGAUCAUUGCCCCCUCUGGCAUAGUGCAGGAAAAGGCCUCUAGAUUGGAUCUUGUGGUUCUGGAACUUGCGGCAGCGGAAAAAGUAUUCCGUCGACUCUCCUAGGGUUUAUGGCAUUUUAGAGUAUUUAUAUAGGUGGAGGUGGGUCAAGAGGGUGCCUGUGGGCCCCACUACCCAUCAGGGCGCGCCAGAGGCCCCUGGCGCGCCCUAGUGUCUAGUGGGCCCCACAGGCCUCGUCUCGUGUGCUCCAGAAGCUUCCAGGGUCUCUUAUCACCAGAAAAAAUACUUCAAAAAGUUUCGUGGCAAUUGGACUUCGUUUGGUAUUGAUAUUCUGCAAAGUAAGAAAAGCAAAAAACAGCAAGUGGCACUGGGCACUAGGUUAAUAGGUUAGUCCCAAAAAAUGAUAUAAAGUUGCUAGUAAUUGUAUAUAAACAUCCAAGAUUUAUAAUUUAAUAGCAUGGAACAAUCAAAAAUUAUAGAUACAUUGGAGACGUAUCACCACUUAACUGAAUCCAUGUGGUAGAUAGUCUAGGUAGCAUCCAAUUUAUCAACCACCUCGAGGUGUUGCUAACAUGUAUAGUAAUUGGUUGGGGGCUCUCAAAAAUGUUGCGGCUUUGAUCCUGGUUGGAGCUUAUGCUCUAUGUUGGUGACAGUGGCUCAGUCUAGAUGAAAUUGUAUUUGAUAAAAAGAAUACUAAAUCACAAACUUAGGGAACAGUAUUUUGUCACCUCGGCCUCCCUUGUAGACUUAGAGCAUCUCUAGCACUUCCCUAAAAACCUUUAAUCCCCUAAAAAUGGUUUAGGUGAUUAAUGUCAACCCAGCCCUUCCUCCAAAACUUUUAAUCAAUAAAAAUAUAGCUUUUCAUUCCCCAAAACUCACCCCACUAGCCCAUGUUUACUUCGAAAACAGGUAGUCUCGACAAAUUUAGCUUAAACCUGCCCGUGUGUCUCGGCCUCAACCCACUUCAUGUCGUUGCCAUCCCCAUUGACUGAAAAAUGAGUGGUCCACACCUUUAUCAAAUCAAAACCACACCAUUCUCACCAAGUGCAUCUAAACUCGUAAGCGCAUGUUGAUUUGUUGGGUAACGUAGCAUGCAAUUUCAAAAAAAAGCAUACAAUCAGGCAAGAUCUAUCUAGGAGAUGCAUAGCAAUGAGAGGGGGAGAGUGUGUCCACGUACCCUCGUAGACCGAAAGCGGAAGCGUUAGUUUAACGUGGUUGAUGUAGUCGAACGUCUUCUCGAUUCAACCGAUCAAGUACCGAACGUACGUCACCUCUGAGUUCUGCACACGUUCAGCUCGAUGACGUCCCUCGAACUCUUGAUCCAGCAAAGUGUCGAGGAAGAGUUUUGUCAGCAUGACGGCACGGUGAUGGUGAUGGUGAAGUGAUCCGCGCAGGGCUUCGCCUAAGCACUACGACAAUAUGACCGGAGGAGUAAACGGUGGAGGGGGCACCGCACACGGCUAAGAACAAUUGAUGUGUCUAGGAGGCGCCCCCCUCCCAUGUAUAUAAAGGAGGGAGAGGAGAGGAGGCCGGCCAAGGAGCGCCCCCAAGUGGGUAGGAGUCCUACUAGGACUCCAAGUCCAAUUCGGACCCCCUCCUUCCUUUUACUGGAGAGGGAAAGGAGGAAGGAGAGGGAGAAGGAGAAGGAAAGGGGGCGUCGCCCCCUUACCUACUCUAAUUCGGACCCCUUCCAAGUGGGGGCGUGCUAGCCCCUUGUGGGCUGGUGUGCCUCCCUCCCAAGGCCCAUGCGGCCCAUUACUUUCCCCGGGGGGUUUCGAUAACCCCCCGGUACUCCGAUAAGUACCUGAAACACUUCGAAACCAUUCCGGUGUCCGGAUACUAUCGUACAAUAUAUCAAUCUUUACCUCUCGACCAUUUUGAGACUCCUCGUCAUAUCCGUGAUCUCAUCCGGGACUCCGAACAAUCUUCGGUCCCAAAACACAUAACUCAUAAUACAAAUCAUCAUCGAACAUUAAGCGUGCGGACCCUACGGGUUCGAGAACUAUGUAGACAUGACCGAGACAUAUCUCCGGUCAAUAACCAACAGUGGAACCUAGAUGCUCAUAUUGGUUCCUACAUAUUCUACGAAGAUCUUUAUCGUUCAAACCGCAAUGAUAACAUACGUCAUUCCCUUUGUCAUUGGUAUGUUACUUGCCCAAGAUUCGAUCAUCGGUAUCUUCAUACCUAGUUCAAUCUCUUUACCGGCAAGUCUCUUUACUCGUUCCGUAAUGCAUCAUCCCGCAACUAACUCAUUAGUCACAUUGCUUGCAAGGCUUAUCAUGAUGUGCAUUACCGAGAGGGUUCAAAGAUACCUCUCUGAUACUUGGAGUGACAAAUCCUAAUCUCAAUCUAUGCCAACCCAACAAACACCUUCGGAUAUACCUGUAGAGCAUAUUUAUAAUCACCUAGUUACGUUGUGACGUUUGAUAGCACACAAGGUAUUCCUUCGGCAUUUGGGAGUUGCAUAGUCUCAUAGUCAAAGGAAUAUGUAUAAGUCAUGAAGAAAGCAAUAGCAAUACAACUUUAACGAUCAUUAUGCUAAGCUAACGGAUGGGUCUUGUCCAUCACAUCAUUCUCCUAAUGAUGUGAUCCCAUUCAUCAAAUGGCAACACAUGUCUAUGGUCAGGAAACUUAACCAUCUUUGAUUAACGAGCUAGUCUAGUAGAGGCAUACUAGGGACACAUUGUUUUGUCUAUGUAUUCACACAUGUAUCAAGUUUCCGGUAAAUGUAAUUCUAGCAUGAAUAAUAAACAUUAAUCAUGAUAUAAGGAAAUAUAAAUAACAACUUUAUUAUUGCCUUUAGGGCAUAUUUCCUUCAUGAUUUGCACCAGAGCCACAAUCACGGUGACAUCAGGACUCUCCAUGACCUUCAUGUUUCACACUUGGUUUGUACUCGUCAGGCUGGCCUCUCGGAUUGAACCAGUUGGUAUGAUUGCUUGAACCCAUUCAUGCCACCUCACUUGGUACCAGCUCCAUCUGAUUUGUGCGCCAAAUCAAUCUAAUCGGUAGUGCUUUAUGAUAGAAUUGUCCUUGUUCCAAACACCUCAUGUGAUUGACCUUGUCUAGCAGCCGAUUUCAACAGCCCUUCGAGAGAACACAUCGCAUGAAAACCCCAUGUAGUCACAUCCGCAAUCAUUGUCGCUACUUGUCGAUAGUGUUCCGCCACCACCGACAUCUCAUACAAUUCCUUGGGACUCAACUUCACUAUGCUCUGGCCUCUACUCCCACAAAAGCCACUCUUCAUUCCGAACAACAUCACCAUUGCCUUUAUAUAGAACAUCUAUACAGUGAUCCAAUUUGCAACCUCGCUUUGAUACCACUUGUUAGAAUUUACAUGGUUAGAUCAUUGUAGAAAUUAGAUGGAGAGACGAUAUUUGUUAAUAGGGUUCACCGAAUUUUGGAUAUGGGGCAUGACUUCGUAUGCUCCUUCCCAAUCAAUAUAGUAUAGAUCAGUGGGACCACAGAGGCCAUGAGACGCAUCUGGACUACCACACCACAUAUUUUCACCCCGGCCAUGGACGGUCAGACCGUUGUCUAGCCUACCAAAUUUCGUCUAGUCUACUGUGGUCACCCUGUGGUGCCUUUAUAUGUAAUAGGUUUGAGAUAACUUGUUCAAAUCUAGCACCUAACCCAAUGCAUACUGCAAGUCUAACUGGCACAUAUUCGACACCAAUUCCAACAUAGAGCCUAAGAAUCGUCUUUGUUAACCAGUCUUAGAUGAGUCGGUUUCUAUAGUAGUGUGUGGUGACAUUUAAUUCUAGUACAUCAUUUUUAACAAAGACAUAGUACAUCCAUGAGUAUAAUAUUUCUUUUGUUGAAUGUCUAUGAACAUACUUGAUAGUCCAUUUUGCAUCAUGUUUUCUUACUGUUAUUUACAAUUUUUUUAUCCAUAAUAAUGCUUUUUGGAGUAAUUCUAAUGCUUUUCUCUCAUAACUUGCAAGGAACACACCAAGAGGGAGAAUUCCGGCAGCUGGAAAUCUGGACCUGAAAAAGCUAUGUCAGGCCACCUAUUCUGUACAACUCCAAAUGGGCUGAAAUUUUACGAAGAUUUUUUAUGGAAUAUAUAAGAAAUAUUGGAGCCAAUAAGUACGAGAGGGGGGACCACCAGGUGGGCACAACCCACCUCGGUGUGCCAGGCCCCCCUGGCGCGCCCUGGUGGAUUGUGGCCUCCUCGGCCCACCUCCGGUGCCCAUCUUCUGGUAUAUAAGUGGUUUUGACCUAGAAAAAAAUCACAAUAAUACUUUCGGGACGGAGCGCUACCGCCUCGAGGCGGAACUUGGGUAGGAGCACUUUUGCCCUCCGGCGGAGCGAUUCCGCCAGGGGAACUUCCCUCCCAGAGGGGGAAAUCAUCGUCAUCAUCGUCACCAACAACUCUCCCAUCUUGGGGAGGGCAAUCUCCAUCAACAUCUUCACCAGCACCAUCUCAUCUCGAACCCUAGUCCAUCUCUUAUAUUCAAUCUUGUUACCGGAACUAUAGAUUGUUGCUAGGGGGUGACUAGUAGUGUUGAUUGCAUCUUGUAGUUGACUACUAUAUGGUUUAUUUGGUGGAAGAUUAUAUGUUCAAAUCCAUUAUGCAUAUUAAUACCCCUCUGAUCAUGAGCAUGUUUGUUGUUUGUGAGUACCUUUGUUCUUGAGGUCACGGGAUAAAUCAUGUUGCAAGUAAUCAUGUGAAUUUGAUAUGUGUUUGAUAUUUUGAUAGUAUGUAUGUUGUGAUUCCCUUAGUGGUGUCAUGUGAACAUCGACUACAUGACACUUCACCAUAUUUGGGCCUAAGGGAAUGCAUUGUGGAUUAGUAAAUAGAUGGUGGGUUGCGAGAGUGACAGAAACUUAAACCCUAGUUUAUGCACUAUUUCGUAAGGUACCGAUUGGAUCCUAGAAUUUAACGCUAUGGUUAGGAUUUAUGCUUAAUACUUUUCUCGUAGUUGCGGAUGCUUGCGGGAGGGUUAAUCAUAAGUAGGUGGUUUGUUUAAGUAAGAACAACACCUAAGCACCAGUCCACCCACAUAUCAAAUUAUCAAAGUAGCGAACACAAAUCAAACCAAUAUGAUGAAAGUGACUAGAUGAAAUUCCCAUGUACUCUCAAGAACGCUUUGCUUAUCAUAAGAGACCGUUUUGGCCUGUCCUUUGCCUCAAAAGGAUUGGGCUACCUUGCUGCAUACUUUUUACAAUUAUCGUUACUUGCUCGUUACAGAUUAUCUUGCUACCAAACUACUCGCUACUUCCAAUUUCAGCACUUGCAGACAAUACCUUACUGAAAACUAUUUGUGAUUUCCUUCUGCUCCUCGUUGGGUUCGGCACUCUUACUUAUCGAAAAGAGCUACAAUUGACCCCCUAUACUUGUGGGUCAUCAAGGCUAUUUUCUGGCACCGUUGCCGGGGAGUGAAGCUCCUUUGGUAAGUGGAAUUUGGUAAGGAAACAUUUAUAUAGUGUGCUGAAAUUUAUUGUCACUUGUAACUAUGGAAAACAGUCCUUUGAGGGGUAUGUUCGGGGUAUCUUCACCUCAUCCAGAUCCAUAAUUAAUUGCCCCUCAACCUACUGAAAAUAUUGAAUAUGAAAUUCCUUCGGGUAUGAUAGAAGAACUUCUAGCUAAUCCUUAUGCAGGAGAUGGAACUGGACAUCCCGAUAUGCACUUGAUACAUGUGGAACAAAUUUGUGGAUUGUUUAAGCUUGUAGGUUUACCCAGGGAUGAAGUUAUGAAAAAGGUUUUCCCUUUAUCUUUGAAGGGAAAAGCAUCGGGAUGGUAUAGGCUAUGCGAUGAUAUUGGAUCAUGGAAUUGGGAUCGUUUGAAAUUGGAGUUUCACCAAAAAAUUUAUCCUAUGCAUCUAGUUCAUCGUGAUCGGAAUAAUAUAUAUAAUUUUUGGCCUCGUGAAGGAGAAAGUAUCGCUCUAGCUUGGGGGAGUCUUAAGUCAAUGUUAUAUUCAUGCCCCAAUCAUGAGCUCUCAAGAGAAAUUGUUAUUCAGAAUUUUUACGCUCGGCUUUCUCGCAAUGAUCAAACCAUGCUGGAUACUUCUUGUGCUGGUUCUUUUAUGAAGAAGACUAUUGAAUUCCAGUGGGAUCUUUUGGAAAGAAUUAAACGCAACUCUGAAGAUUGGGAACUCGGCGAAGGUAAAGAGUCAGGUAUAAAGCUUAAGUAUGAUUGUGUUAAAUCUUUUAUGGAUAUCGAUGCUUUUCAAAAGUUUAGCACUAAAUAUGGACUUGACUCUGAGAUAGUAGCCUCCUUUUGUGAAUCUUUUGCUACUCAUGUUGAACUCCCUAAAGAGAAGUGUAUUAGAUAUCAACCACCUAUUAAAGAAGAAAUUAAAGAACCGGUAUCAGUUAAAGAAGAAACUAUACUUUAUAAUGUCGAUCCAGUUGUUCCUACUGCUUAUUUUGAGAAACCUCCUUUUCCUGUUAGGAUAAAGGAACAUGCUAAAGUUUCAACUGUGGUUAACGAAAGCUCUGUUAGAACACCUAAACUAGAUGAACAAAUUAGAGUUGAACCUAAUAUUGUUAUAGUUAAAUAUCUCUUAGAAGAAGAUGUGGAUGGGCAUGUUAUCUACUUCUGUGAAGAAGCUGCUAGAAUUGUUAAACCUGGUGGAAAUGAUAAACAUAGACCUGUUGUUGGCAUGCCUAUCAUUUCAGUUAAAAUAGGAUAUCACUAUUAUUAUGGUUUAUGUGAUAUGGGUGCUAGUGUGAGUGCUAUUCCUCACAAGUUAUAUCAAGAAAUUAGGGAGGAAAUAGCACCUGUUGAAAUAGAAGACAUAGAUGUUACUAUUAAACUUGCAAAUAGAGACACUAUAUCACCUGUUGGGAUUGUCAGAGAUGUUGAAGUCUUGUGUGGGAAAACAAAAUAUCCUACCAAUUUUCUUGUUCUUGGUACUCCACCUGAUGACUUCUGUCCCAUUAUCUUUGGUAGACCUUUCUUGAACACCAUUAAUGCUAGGAUAGAUUGCCAAAAACAAACUGUGGAAGUUAGCUUUGGUAAUGAGUCUCAUGAGUUUAAUUUUUCCAAGUUUAGUAGAAAUUAUCAUGAAAAAGAAUUGCCUAGUGAGGAUGAAUUCAUUAGUCUUGCUUCUAUUGCUGUGCCACCUAACGAUCCUUUGGAUCAAUACUUGCUAUACCAUGAGAAUGAUUUACAUAUGCAUGAAAGAAACGAAAUAGAUAAUAUUUUCUUUGAAAAACGUCCUCUACUUAAACACAAUUCACCUAUUGAAACUCUAGGAGGUCCUCCUCCACCUAAAGGUGAUCCUGUGUUUGAAUUGAAACAAUUGCCAAACACUUUGAAAUAUGCUUAUCUAGAUGAAAAUAAGAUAUAUCAUGUUAUUAUCAGUGCUAACCUUUCAGAACAUGAAGAAGAAAGAUUAUUGAAAGUUCUAAGGAAGCACCGAGCUGCUGUUGGAUAUACUCUUGAUGAUUUAAAGGGUAUUAGUCCCACUCUAUGUUAGCACAAAAUUAAUAUGGAACUUGAUGCUAAACCAGUUGUUGAUCACCAACAUCGGUUAAAUCCGAAGAUGAAAGAGGUGGUAAGAAUGGAAAUAUUAAAACUUCUGGAAGCAGGUAUAAUCUAUCCUAUAGCUGAUAGUAGAUGGGUAAGUCAUGUUCAUUGUGUCCCUAAGAAAGAAGGUAUAACUGUUGUUCCUAAUGAUAAGAAUAAACUUAUUCCACAAAGAAUUGUUACAGGCUAUAGAAUGGUAAUUGAUUUUAGAAAAUUAAAAGCAACUAGAAAAGAUCAUUACCUCUUGCCUUUUAUUGAUCAAAUGCUUGAAAGAUUAUCUAAGCACACACACUUUUGCUUCCUUGAUAGAUACUUUGGCUUUUCACAAAUACCUGUUUCUCAACUUGAUCAAGAAAAGACCACUUUUACUUGUCCUUUUGGAACCUAUGCUUAUGGACGUAUGCCUUUUGGUUUAUGUAAUGCACCUGCUACCUUUCAAAGAUGUAUGUUAGCUAUAUUCUCUGACUUUUGUGAAAAGAUUGUUGAGGUUUUCAUGGAUGACUUUCUUGUUUAUGGGAAGUCUUUUGAUGAUUGUAUAAGCAAUCUUGAUCGAGUUUUGCAGAGACGUGAACAAACAAAUCUUGUCUUGAAUUGGGAGAAGUGCCACUUUAUGGUAAAUGAAGGAAUUUUCUUGGGUCAUAAAAUCUCUGAAAAGGGUAUUGAAGUGGAUCAAGAUAAGGUUGAUGCUAUUGAAUAAAUGCCAUGUCCCAAGGACAUCAAAGAUAUUCGUAGUUUCUUAGGUCAUGUUGGUUUCUAUAGGAGAUUUAUCAAAGACUUUUCUAAAAUUUCUAGGCCACUCACUAAUCUUUUGCAAAAGGAUAUUCCUUUUCUCUUUGAUGAUGAUUGUCUUGAAGCCUUUGAAACACUCAAGAAAGCUUUAAUUAAUGCACCCAUAGUUCAACCACCUGAUUGGAAUUUACCUUUUGAAAUUAUGUGUGAUGCUAGUGGUUAGGAUGUUGGUGCUAUUCUAGGACAAAGAGUUGAUAAGAAAUUGAAUGUUAUUCAUUAUGCUAGUAAACUCUAGACAGUGCUCAGAGAAAUUAUGCUACUACUAAAAAAGAAUUCUUAGCAAUGGUGUUUGCUUGUGAUAAGUUUAGACCUUAUAUUGUUUAUUCCAAAGUAACUGUUCACAUAGACCAUGCUGCUAUUAAAUAUCUUAUAAAAAAGAAAGAUGCUAAACCUAGACUUAUUUGUCGGGUUCUCUUGUUACAAGAAUUUGAUCUGCAAAUUAUUGAUAGAAAAGGAGCUGAGAACCCCGUAGAUGAUAACUUGUCUAGGCUUGAAAAUGUGCUUGAUGACCCACUUCCUAUUGAUGAUAGUUGCUACCUCUUGAGCACUGUUGUCGGAUUUCAGGUUCCGGCAGACCCUUGAGGUUCGGACACUGGGGUGCGUGCGGAGAUCUCUCCCCUACCGAUCUACGUCCAAUCUCCUCGCGUGAUCUAAGCCGGAAACAAUGAACAACACAAGGGACACGAGGUUUAUACUGGUUCGGGCCACCGUUGUGGUGUAAUACCCUACUCCAGUGUGUGGUGUGGUGGAUUGCCUCAAGGGCUGAUGAUGAACAGUACAAGGGAAGAACAGCCUCGCGAGAGGUGUUCUUGAGCUGGUGCAAUGAACUGCUUGGAUGAGUUCAGUCGCCUCUCUCUCUCUCUCUCUCUGCUAGGGCUCUAUCAGAUCUCUAGAUGUCUUUGCUCUCUCCCUCCUUUUCUCUCCAUGUCCCCCCUUCACUCUGUGGUGGCUAGCUCUAUUUAUAGAGGCCCUGGGCCUCUCCCCAAAUAAUGAGCGGGAAGGGCGCCAAUAAUUGGCUGUUUUAAAGGGGAACAUCUAGUACAAGUUAUCCUGACCAAAGGUGGUCUUCGGCUGCCAAAAGCACUGGUGAUGACGCUGUCUUAGGCUCCACGGUGACCUCCGUCCUACCACUAUGUUGCUCUUGGUCUCGUUGCACCGGAAUGGCAACAUUUGCCCGAUGCCUUGGCCUGUGCUUGCCCCCUUUGCACCAAAGGGGAAACAAGAACACUGCGCAGGCCGGCGCCCGCCUGGUCUCGAUCGUCAUGACUUGCGUCACGGGCUCCUCGCGAGGUACCCCUGCCUUGAUCUCUCUGCCUCCUCGCGAGCCCGCCUGAUGAGGCUGCCUCUGAGGAAGCUUUCUGUCGUCCACCCCGCGAGGCUUGGCCCCUCGCGAAGGUCUUGAGCUUUAGCUGAUGAAGAUGGGCCGCGCUGGGCCCCCACUUGAGCCACGCCACAGGCCGCAGGCAGGCAAGUCUGGGGACCCCUGUUCCCAGAACGCUGACAGUAGCCCCCGGGCCCGAGGCACGCCCGGGCUUGGCCUAGCAGGGAAGCGAAGGGGCGAGCGCGAAGCGCCGCGGGCCUCAAUAGUCUACGGUCUUGUGCGCCGCAUGGCAAUUGAUUAGACGUGGGCGUCUGCACUUCCCCAUGAUGCCUCGGCGACCGCACGACUUGACAAGUCCCUGCAUGCAGAGAAACCGGUCAUGAUUACCUGCGAUCAUGGUGCUCGGCGGUUGGCCUCCUCCUGCUAUAAGUACGGGGCUGCGCGAGCUCCUUCAGUCCAUCCCUUGUUGCUGCUCCUUUCCUUCUUCUUCCUCGUUCUUGCUUCUCCUUACGCCAAUGGCACCAAUCCGCCGGUUUUCUGCAGAAGAGAAGGGAAAGGCCCCCCGAGAGGGUCCUGACCCACUUCCGCCGAAGAAGCGGCUGGUCCUCUGCCACCGAGAUGAGGGUGCUCAGCAGGAGGUAUCGAGGCCCUGGUACGAGCGGCCGCCGCCUGGGUAUCCGCUACCCUUGUACGCCCGCGUCAUGGGUCCUGGGGGAGAAGGCGUCGAGCGACAUCGACGGUGCCGCCGUCGGUGCCGGCGAGUCACGGUGGUGCGUGUCAUUCCUCCUGGAGUCCAUGUCGAGCGCUCCUCUCGCGAGCUAGUGCUCCACGCCGCCAUGCCUCAGAGCUCUUGGAUUCGCCUUCCUCCCUCCUUCGCCUUCGAGAUGCCGCCGAGCGGGGCUCUGGAGCUCUGGCUGCAACACGCUGACUGUAGUACCCUUGCGACCGGAGCGGAGGUCACGGUCGUCGCUCCGGGCAAGGUCUUCAUUACCCGGGGCUGGGGUGAGAUUGCCCGGGUCUGCCGGACGGUAGGUGCCCUCGUAAUUCAUCUUGAAUACGACGGCGCUUCCCUGAUGUUCUUCAAGGUCUUCGAUGCUGAAGGACGCCGGCUGGAGUGCUGCCCCAGGGAGAGCGGCAGGGGCAACGAACCGGCGAGGACCUAGCCCACCCAUCGGCCCUCCAGCAGCUCCUCAGGCAGCAGCGGAGGAGCUGGGGAAUCCAGCGGCUCCCCCGAGCUCCUCGCGACUCCGGAGAUGAGCGACGACAACUACAAGCCCCCGAGCUCGCCCGUGCUCGGAGCGGGGCAGCUGCGUCCAGCCGCCGACGCCACUGAUCUGGAUGGGGUUGGCACCGGCGUUGGGCAGCCCACUAUUGAUGAUGGCGUCCCUUGCGGAGGUGCGGGCCAUUAGCGUUCCUUAGGAUCAGUACUUUUGUUCCCUGCGAGGAAUCGAAGCAACACCCCACGGGGGGUAUGUAAGGCGCCUGCCAUGUCUUUUGUGAACAUUAUAUCUUAAUAUGAAUCAAUGUGAGGUGCUUGUCUGUCCCAGCUCGGCUCCCCCUUUCUAUCCUCACGAGGACUUGGCGCUCUACGCCGACAGGUCCCAGUCCCCAGGCAGGCUUCAGUUGUCGCUGGUAUGCCAGAUCACGAUGCCGUGGUCAAGGCCAGGAGGUGAGCGGCCCGAGGUCCGGUAAGAGCCCCCGAGUCGCGAUGCUCGGGAGGUCUCCUUUAGCGCUCAAGCAGCCCUCGCUGGGCGAGAAAGGAAGGCAACGUCGCCAUGACAGAGCCGCACUGGGCGAGGGUUUGGCGCUGCGUUGGUCCAACUCCUGUAAGGGCGUGACUUAUCUCUUGAGUCUGGUGUAGUUCCUCGACGAAGCGCCCGGCCCGAGUGGUGGCAGCUGAGGCACUGCUGGGUUAGGUCCUCGCGAGCUUCUUCCCACUCCCCCACACUUUCCUUAAUGCUCUACGUCCUCAGGUCCCGGCCCUCGAGCGAGCUCAGCCGCCGCUGGUAUGACAGGUCGCGAUGCCGUGGGUCAAGGCCAGGGGGUGAGGGCUGGAGAGCCAGUAGGAGCCCAUGAGUCGCGAUGCUCAGGCGCCCCCCUUUUAACAUGCAAGCGGUCCGUGCCGGAGAGAGGGUGAGGCAGCUCGCGACGUCCCUAGCGUUGCUCCUGGAGUAGGUCCUGCACACCAAUCAUGAAGAGAAACAAGACCUGUUGUUACGGUUGCCAGCCAACCUUUGGUUGCUCCGGGAAAGUGAUUGGGGCACUGAGGGCCUGGUGAGGUGGCGCCUUGCGAGGCUGCCGCGGCCAGAGCUCGACCACUCAAGUUUAUCGACAUUGCAGGGACGGACCCGUGCGCAAAUGUCAUGCCAGAGAGCGGCUCCAUAGGUAGGCGUCAAUCGAGAAGGCGAUUAGGUCGGGUAUGUUAAGCACGCAGGAGGAAAUUCAUUUUAAAUAGACGCGGGAAAAGCAAAAGUCGUUGGGCCAGGCCCGAGAAGCUCGGGGAUGAUGCAGCCCGAGGGGCGCCCCCAACAAGGUAAGUACAGAGCAUAAGCAAAACGGAUACACGCCGCAGGGAUGGACCCACGCGGCCUGGGAAUGAUUCGGCCCUGUGGGCGCUCCCAGCUAAAAACGGAACUUAGAAAGAUGUCACCUGGUGCCAUUGAAGAUGGAGUGAUGUUGAAGGAGCGGGCGAUGCGCGAUGAAGACGUCGAUCCUCACGAGCCCCCAGGCCCAGGAGCCUCGGGAAGCUCGGGGGCACAGGUAGGUUUCCGAGGGCCAUCUCCAUCUCCGCCAGGACCACGCAAUGCCUGACCUCCUGGGCUUCCAGAAUGCUCCUCAGCAGGCGCUGAUGAGUGGCGACAGCGUUCGGCAGGCCGAAAAGCAUGCAAACGUGGCUGUGAGGUGGACCCUCGCAACGCCCCACGCACGUAGGCCAGAGGCGCUCCUGAGACGUGGCUUGGUUGAGCCCUGGCACGUCGAUGUAGAUGCGCUGCCCACCAUCCUCGCCUGGAUGUGGGGCCACGGUGGGCAAGCGGCGGCUGCCAUGCAUGACUCUCGACUCCUGUAGCUCCUAGGUGUUUUUUUGCGAUGAACUCCUGAGGGUUUGGUCUUCCUUGCCUUGUACCUUCCUGAGGGAAACGUACCUGGAAGCACCCCUCCAAGUGGUGCCCGAGCGCCUCCCUCGCGACCUUGGAAAAGUCGGUGGCUCUCCAAGAAAGAGCCCCCGAGCCCCGCUUGAGGAGGGCGCCAGGCACGCCUUCCUAUGCGAGAGAGGGUGGCGCUCCCUGAUUGGGCGCAGACCCUGACGCAACACCUCCGGAGGCGACUGCCUCCUUAUGGCUUGGGCCAGGCGAAACCUUCUUCUUCUUAAGGGUCGCCUCGGGAAGUCUUCCAUUCCUGUGGUCUGGGUCUUCGAUUGCUGCGGCUUGGAACACACACUCAAGUGAACACACUGCGUCCCUUUCUUCACAGGGUACGGUGAUGACUCCACCGCUUCUUGGCAUCUUGAGGACAUUGUACCCAUGGUGAGUCACUGCCAUGAACUUGGCCAGGGCUGGGUACCCGACGAUGGCGUUGUAUGGCAGACGGAUGUGGGUGACGUCGAAGUCGAUGAGCUCGGCACGGUAGUUGUUGCGCUGCCGAAGGUGACUGGAAGGCGAACCUGCCCUAUUGGAACAGUGGAACCAUCAGUGACUCCUGAGAAGGGCUUGGUCAGCUGAAGCUGAUCGUACGGCACUUGGAGAUUGUCGAACGUCUCGACGGACAGAACGUUGAGUCCUGCUCCGCCGUUAAUGAGAGUCCUGGUGACCUGCAUGUUGCUGAUGACUGGGAAGCAAAGCAUCGGGAGGACUCCGGCCAUUGCCGCGCACUUGAGCUGAUCCGCUGAGUUGAACAUGAUAGCGCACGCAGACCACCUGAGAGGGCGUGUGGCCUCAAGUUUGGGGAGGGCUGCAUUCACCUCGCGAGCAAACUUCUUGAAGAUGCGCUGUGAGGCUGGGGCCUGCGCUCCAUCCAAGAUGCAAGCGAUUGCGCGCGGCUCCUAGAAGGCCCCAGCUCCCUCGUCUUGAUGUUGGUCUUCGUUCCUCCUUGGCGGUGGCGGCAGAGGAGGAAGGCCUGCGUUGCCGUGCGGGCGAUCCUCAUGAGGCUGAUCUCUCCAGCCUCCCUCGUGAGGCUGGUCCUGCCAGCGAUCCUCGCGAGGUCGGUCACACCACCCUUGGCGAGGGCCACGGUCUUCCCAUCGUCCGCCGCCUCUUCCUCCUCCUCGGCCAUAGCCCCUGUCGUUGCGCUCGGGGCGUUGGCCGACACGUCCAUGUCUCACGGCCCUGAGCUCUUGACAUUCGUUGGUGUUGUGGGUGUGUAGGUCAUGGUACAUGCAGUACCGGCUGCCCUUGGAUGACUCAGGCUGAUCCCUGCCUCGCUUGGUGUCUGGUUCCGCUGCAAGCACAGCAGCCCCCUUGCGCUUCACGUCCUUGGCCUUGGGCUUCUUCUCUUCUGGGUCGGCAGCCGGGAGUUCGAGGAGGGAAAGGCGCCCUUCCUCAGCCCUGGCGCACUUGAUCGCCAGGUUGAACAGCUCCAGGGAUGUGCAUAGGUCUUCAUGGAUUGCUAGCUCCUCCUUCAUCUUGAUGUCGCGUACGCCAUCGAAGAAGGACGAGAUGAUGGCUUCUUCAAUCACCUUGGGGAUCUUGAGGCGAGCGUUGUUGAAGCGCUAGAUGUAUUUUUGUAGGGUUUCCCCUUGCUGCUGCUUGAUGUGGCGCAGAUCGCUCACGGCCGGGGGCCGGUCGCGAGUGCCCUGGAAGUUGGCGAUGAAGCGAGUGCGCAUCUCGUCCCAGGAGGAGAUUGUGCCAGGAGCCAGGUUCAGGAGCCAGGUGCGGGCCCCGUCCUUGAGCGCCAUGGGAAACCAGUUCGCCAUGACCCUUUCGUCUCCGUUGGCGGCUUCGAUGCAUAACUCAUAGAGCUGUAGGAACUCCGCGGGGUCCGCUGUGCCAUCGUAGCGAGGGGCAGGUCAGGCUUGAACUUGCUUGGCCAUACGACGCCGCGUAGCUCGGGGGUGAGGGCACGACAGCCUGUAGCCACCGGCGCCUUUUGCUGGUGCUGGGCUUGUUCCUGGGGAUUACCGCGCGCCGCUGCUUGAAGCAGCGCGGGGUCUUGGCGUGGAGGUGCAGGGACGCGAUCUUGACGCGCCGGCGCUGGGAGCACGCGAGCACCUUCUUGGGGACGAGGGAUCUCUUGGCAGCUCCUUUCUUGCUACGCAGGCUCCGGACGCGGAGGGUCUCGCCCUGGGGCUGCGCGCUUUGGAGCUAGGGCGCCUUCUUGGGGAGGAGGUGGUGGAGGCACCUCCUGAUCCUCGCCUCCUGUGCGGAAUGGAGGGCGAGACAGCGAGAGGGACGGCAAGGGGGAGCCCCCUGCGGUGCUGACGAGCUCGAUGAUGCGGGCGAGCCAGUCCUCGUAGAGGUCGUCGACGGGGCGGUAGUGCAAGAGCUCUCUUACCAGGAGCAGCGCGGCGUGCGCGUCUGUGGAGGCGCGACGGGCGUGGGACGACGAAGCAGCUGGAGUUAGCGACAGUGUGGCGGUGCAGCCCUCCCGCCGCACCGAAGGAUGCUGGGACGAGGCCUGCUGCUCGUUCCCUGCCGGGCCGGUGGCGGCGUUGGCGGCAGGCGACGGGGAAUGAUGAGGACGUCCGCCAACGGGCGCCGUCUGGGUGACGAGGGUGGCGAGAGCAGCCCGGCGCUCCACGCGAGCCCGACGAGCGUCAGCCAUGGACACGACGGAACAUCACACGCGAACGACGGAAGAAAGAUUCCGGUGCACCCCUACCUGGCGCACCAAAUGUCAGAUUUCGGGUUCCGGCAGACCCUUGAGGUUCGAACACUGGGGUGCGCGCGGAGAUCUCUCCCCUACCGAUCUACGUCCAAUCUCCUCACGUGAUCUAAGCUGGAAACAACGAACAACACAAGGGACACGAGGUUUAUACUGGUUUGGGCCACCGUUGUGGUGUAAUACCCUACUCAAGUGUGUGGUGUGGUGGAUUGCCUCAGGGGCUGAUGAUGAACAGUACAAGGGAAGAACAACCUCGCGAGAGGUGUUCUUGAGCUGGUGCAAUGAACUGCUUGGAUGAGUUCAGUCGCCUCUCUCUCUCUCUCUGCUAGGGCUCUAUCAGAUCUCUAGAUGUCUCUGCUCUCUCCCUCCUUUUCUCUCCAUGUCCCCCCUCCACUCUGCGGUGGCUAGCUCUAUUUAUAGAGGCCCUGGGCCUCUCCCCAAAUAAUGAGCGGGAAGGGCGCCAACAAUUGGCCGUUUUGAAGGGGAACAUCUAGUACAAGUUAUCCUGACCAAAGGUGGUCUUCGACUGCCAAAAGCACUGGUGAUGACGCCGUCUUCGGCUCCACGGUGAGCUCCGUCCUGCCGCUCUAUUGGUCUUGGUCUCGUUGCACCGGAAUGGCAACCUUUGCUCGAUGCCUUGGCCUGUGCUUGCCCCCUUUGCACCAAAGGGGAAACAAGGACACUGCGCAGGCCGGCGCCCGCCUGGUCUCGAUCAUCAUGGCUUCCGUCACGGGCUCCUCGCGAGGUACCCCUGCCUUGAUCUCUCCGCCUCCUCGCGAGCCCACCUGAUGAGUUUGCCUCUGAGGAAGCUUUCUGUCGUCCACCCCGCGAGGCUUGGCCCCUGGCGAGGGUCUUGAGCUUGAGCUGAUGAAGAUGGGCCGCGCUGGGCCCCCACUUGAGCCACGUCGCAGGCCGCAGGCAGGCAAGUCUGGGGACCCCCGUUCCCAGAACACCCACAACUGCGUUGGUUUUCCCUUGAAGAGGAAAGGGUGAUGCAGCAAAGUAGCGUAAGUAUUUCCCUCAGUUUUUGAGAACCAAGGUAUCAAUCUAGUAGGAGACUACACGCAAGUCCCUUGUACCUACACAAACAAAUAAGAACCUCGCAACCAACGUGAUAAAGGGGUUGUCAAUCCCUUCACUGUCACUUACGAGAGUGAUAUCUGAUAGAUAUAAUAAUAAUAAGAUAAAUAUUUUUGCUAUUUUUAUGAUAUAGAUUGAAAGUAAAGAUUGCAAAGUAAAAUAGAUUGGAAACUUAUAUGAUAAAAGAUAGACCGGGGGCCAUAGGUUUCACUAGUGGCUUCUCUCAAGAUAGCAUAAGUAUUACAGUGGGUGAACAAAUUACUGUCGAGCAAUUGAUAGAAAAGUGCAUAGUUAUGAGAAUAUCUAGGCAUGAUCAUGUACAUAGGCAUUACGUCCGCGACAAGUAGACCAAAACGAUUCUGCAUCUACUACUAUUACUCCACACAUCGACCGCUAUCCAGCAUGCAUCUAGAGUAUUAAAUUCAUAAGAACAGAGUAACACAUUAGGCAAGAUGACAUGAUGUAGAGGGAUAAACUCAAGCAAUAUGAUAUAACCCCAUAUUUUUAUCCUCGAUGGCAACAAUACAAUACGUGCCUUGCUGCCCCUGCUGCCACUGGGAAAGGACACCGCAAGAUUGAACCCAAAGCUAAGCACUUCUCCCAUUGCAAGAAAGAUCAAUCUAGUAGGCCAAACCAAACUGAUAAUUCGAAGAGACUUGCAAAGAUAACAAAUCAUAUAUAAAAGAUUUCAGAGAAGAAUCAAAUAUUGUUCGUAGAUAAACUUGAUCAUAAACCCAGAAUUCAUCGGAUCUCGACAAACACACCACAAAAAGAGUUACAUCAAAUAGAUCUCCAAGAAGGUCGAGGAGAACAUUGUAUUGAGAUCAAAAGAGAGAGAAGAAGACAUCUAGCUAAUAACUAUGGACCCGAAGGUCUGUGGUAAACUACUCACACAUCAUCGGAGAGGCUAUGGUGUUGAUGUAGAAGCCCUCCGUGAUCGAUUCUCCCUCCGGCGGAGCUCCGGAAAAGGCCCCAAGAUGGGAUCUCUUGGGUACAAAGGUUGCGGCGGUGUAAAUAGGGUUUCGUGGUGCUUCUGGAUGUUUUCGGGGUAUAUGGAUAUAUAUAGGAGGAAGUAGGUCAGUGGAGCUGCGAGGGGCCCACGAGGGUGGGGGCACGCCCAGGGGGCAGGCGCGCCUCCCUGCCUCAUGGCCACCUUUUUCUUUCUUGACGUCUACUCCAAGUUCCCUGGAUCACGUUUGUUCCAAAAUUAACUCUCCCGAAGGUUUCAUUCCGUUUGGAUUCCGUUUGAUAUUCCUUUUCUAUGAAACACUGAAAUAGGCAAAAAAAAACAGCAAUUUGCACUGGGCCUUGGGUUAGUAGGUUAGUCCCAAAAAUAAUAUAAAAGUGUAUAAAUAAGCCCAUUAAACAUCCAAAACAGAUAAUAUAAUAGCAUGGAACAAUCAAAAUUAUAGAUACGUUGGAGACGUAUCAAUAGUUUUCCUGAUGAGCAGUUAGCUGGAAUAAAUGGUGCUAAUGGUACUCCUUGGUACGUUGACUAUGCUAAUUACAUUGUCGCUAAAUAUUUGCCACCUAGCUUUACGUAUCAACAAAAGAAUAAAUUCUUCUAUGAUUUAAGACAUUACUUUUGGGAUGGCCCACAUCUUUAUAAAGAAGGAGUAGAUGGUAUUAUUACACGUUGUGUACCUAAGCAUGAACAUGGACAAAUCCUACGGAAAUGUCACUCCGAGUCUUAUUGAGGGCAUUGAAGGAAAUAUGCCCUAGAGGCAAUAAUAAAGUUGUUAUUUAUAUUUCCUUAUAUCAUGAUAAAUGUUUAUUAUUCAUGCUAGAAUUGUAUUAACCGGAAACUUAGUACAUGUGUGAAUACAUAAACAAACAGAGUGUCACUAGUAUGCCUCUACUUGACUAGCUCGUUGAUCAAAGAUGGUUAAGUUUCCUAGCCAUUGACAAAGAGUUGUCAUUUGAUGAACGGGAUCACAUCAUUAGAGAAUGAUAUGAUUGACUUGACCCAUCCGUUAGCUUAGCAUGAUGAUCGUUUAGUUUACUGCUAUUGCUUUCUCCAUAACUUAUACAUGUUCCUAUGACUAUGAGAUUAUGCAACUCCCGAAUACCGGAAGAACACUUAGUGUGCUAUCAAAUUUCACAAUGUAACUGGGUGACUAUAAAGAUGCUCUACAGGUGUCUCCGAUGGUGUUUAUUGAGUUGGCAUAGAUCGAGAUUAGGAUUUGUCACUCAGUGUAUCGGAGAGGUAGCUGUGGGCCCUCUCGGUAAUGCAUAUCACUAUAAGCCUUGCAAGCAAUGUGACUAAAUGAGUUAGUUACCGGAUGUAGCAUUACGGAACAAGUAAAGAGACUUGCAGGUAACGAGAUUGAACUAGGUAUGAUGAUACCGACGAUCGAAUCUCGGGCAAGUAACAUACCGAUGACAAAAGGAAUAACGUAAGUUGUUAUGCGGUUUGACCGAUAAAGAUCUUCGUAGAAUAUGUAGGAACCAAUAUGAGCAUCUAGGUUCCGCUAUUGGUUGUUUACCGGAGAUGAGUCUCGGUCAUGUCUACAUAGUUCUCGAACCCGUAGGUUCCGCACGCUUAAUGUUCGAUGACGAUCGGUAUUAUGAGUUUAUGUGUUUUGAUGUACCGAAGGUUGUUUGGAGUCCCGGAUGUGAUCACGGGCAUGACGAGGAGUCUUGAAAUGGUCGAGACGUAAAUAUCGAUAUAUUGGAUGACUAUGUUUGGACAUCAGAAUAGUUUCGAGUGAGUUCGGGCAUUUACUGGAGUACCAGGAGGUUACCGGAACACCCCGGGAGGUAUAUGGGCCUUAUUGGGCCAUAGUGGGAGAGAGGAGAAGGAAGCCUAGGAGGGGGCGCCCCCCCCCCCCCAAGCCCAAUCCGAAUUAGGUGGGGGCGGCCCCCCCUUUUCCUUCCUCCUUCCUCCCCCUUCCUUCCUCUCUUAGUCCAACUAGGGAAGGGGGAUCCUACUCCCGGUGGGAGUAGGACUCCUCCAGGGCGCGCCAAGAGGGCCGGCCCUCCCCCCUCAACUCCUUUAUAUAUGGGGGAGGGGGCACCCCAUAGACACGCAAGUUGACAAUUGUCUUAGCCAUGUGUGUUGCCCCCCUCCACCAUAAUCCACCUUGGUCAUAUCGUAGCGGUGCUUAGGCGAAGGCCUGUUCCAGUAGCUUCAUCAUCAUCGUCAUCACGCCGUCAUGCUGACGAAACUCUCCCUUGACACUCAGAUGGAUCUAGAGUUCGUGAGACGUCACCAAGCUGAACGUGUGCAGAUCGUGAAGGUGCCUUACCUUCGGUGCUAGGAUCAGUCGGAUCGUGAAGACGUUCGACUACAUCAACCGCGUUGUCAUAACGCUUCCGCUUACGGUCUACGAGGGUACGUGGACAACACUCUUCCCCUCUUGUUGCUAUGCAUCACCAUGAUAGAUCUUGCGUGUGCGUGGGAAAUUUUCUGAAAUUCCUGCGUUCCCCAACCGUGGCAUCCGAGCCAGGUCUAUGCGUAGAUGUUAUAUGCACGAGUAGAACACAAAGGAGUUGUGGGCGUGGAUAUAUACAUAUUGCUUGCCGUCACUAGUUGAUUCUUGAUUCAGCGGUAUUGUUAGAUGAAGCGGCCCAGACCGACAUUACGCGCACGCUUACGCGAGACUGGUUCUACCGACGUGCUUCGCACACAGGUGGCUAGUGGGUGUCUGUUUCUCCAGCUUUAGUUGAAUCGGAUUCAAUAAACAGGGUUCUUUCUAAAGAUCAAAAAACAAUCACUAUACUACAAUGUGGUUUUUGAUGCGUAGGUAAGAACGGUUCUUGCUCAGCCCGUAGCAGCCACGUAAAACUUGCAACAACAAAGUAGAGGACGUCUAACUUGUUUUUGUAGGGCAUGCUGUGAUGUGAUAUGGUCAAGACAUGAUGCUAAAUUUUAUUGUAUGAGAUGAUCAUGUUUUGUAACAGAGUUAUCGGCAACUGGCAGGAGCCAUAUGGUUGUCGCUUUAUUGUAUGAAAUGCAAUCGCCAUGUAAUUGCUUUACUUUAUCACUAAGCGGUAGCGAUAGUCGUAGAGGCAAUAGUUGGUGAGACGACAACGAUGCUUCGAUGGAGAUCAAGGUGUCAAGCCGGUGACGAUGGUGAUCAUGACUAUGCUUUGGAGAUGGAUAUCAAAGGCACAAGAUGAUGAUGGCCAUAUCAUAUCACUUAUAUUGAUUGCAUGUGAUGUUUAUCCUUUAUGCAUCUUAUUUUUGCUUAGUUCGGCGGGAGCAUUAUAAGAUGAUCUCUCACUAAAUUUCAAGGUAUAACUGUAUAAGUGUUCUCCCUGAGUAUGCACCGUUGCUACAGUUCGUCGUGCCGAGACAUCACAUGAUGAUCGGGUGUGAUAAGCUCUACAUUCACAUACAACGGGUGCAAGCCAGUUUUGCACACGCAGAAUACUCGGGUUAAACUUGACGAGCCUAGCAUAUGCAGAUCUGGCCUCGAAACACUGAGACCGAAAGGUCGAGCAUGAAUCAUAUAGUAGAUAUGAUCAACAUAGUGAUGUUCACCAUUGAAAACUACUCCAUAUCACGUGAUGAUCGGACAUGGUUUAGUUUAUAUGGAUCACGUGAUCACUUAGAUGAUUAGAGGGAUGUCUAUCUAAGUGGGAGUUCUUAAGUAAUUUGAUUAAUUGAAUUUUAAUUUAUCAUGAACUUAGUACCUGAUAGUAUUUUGCAUGUCUAUGUUGUUGUAGAUAGAUGGCCCGUGAUGUUGAUCCGUUGAAUUUUAAUGCGUUCCUAGAGAAAGCUAAGUUGAAAGAUGAUGGUAGCAACAACACGGACUGGGUCCAAAACUUUAGGAUUAUCCUCAUUGGUUCACAGAAGAAUUACAUCCUAGAAGCACCACUAGAUGACAAACCCGCUGCAGGAGCAACGCCAGAUGUUAUGAACACCUGAAGAGCAAAGCUGAUGACUACUCGAUAGUUCAGUGUGUCAUGCUUUACGACUUAGAACCGGGACUUCAAAGACGUUUUGAACGUCAUGGAGCAUAUGAGAUGUUCCAGGAGUUGAAGUUAAUAUUUCAAGCAAAUACCCGGAUUGAGCGAUAUGAAGUCUCCAAUAAGUUCCACAGCUGCAAAAUGGAGGAGAAUAGUUCUAUCAGUGAACAUAUACUCAGAAUGUCUGGGUACCACAACCACUUGACUCAGCUGGGAGUUAAUCUUCCUGAUGAUAGUGUCAUUGACAGAGUUCUUCAAUCACUGCCACUAAGCUACAAGAGCUUCGUGAUGAACUAUAAUAUUCAAGGGAUGGAUAAGACGAUUCCCGAGCUCUUCGCAAUGCUAAAGGCUGCGGAGGUAGAAAUCAAGAAGGAGCAUCAAGUGUUGAUGGUUAACAAUACCACCAGUUUCAAGAAAAAGGGUAAAGGGAAGAAGGGGAACUUCAAGAAGAACAGCAAGCAACUUGCUGCUCAAGUGAAGAAGCCCAAGUCUGGACCUAAGAUUGAGACUGAGUGCUUCUACUGCAAAGGUACUGGUCACUGGAAGCGGAACUACCCCAAGUAUUUGGCGGAGAAGAAGGAUGGCAAAGUGAAAGGUAUAUUUGAUAUACAUGUUAUUGAUGUGUACCUUACUAAUGCUCGCAGUAGCGCCUGGGUAUUUGAUACUGGUUUUGUUGCUAAUAUUUGCAACUCAAAACAGGGGCUACGGAUUAAGCGAAGAUCGGCUAAGGACGAGGUGACGAUGCGCGUGGGAAAUGGUUCCAAAGUCGAUGUGAUCGCUGUCGGCACGCUACCUCUACAUCUACCUUCGGGAUUAGUUUUAGACCUAAAUAAUUGUUAUUUGGUGCCAACGUUGAGCAUGAACAUUAUAUCUAGAUCUUGUUUGAUGCGAGACGGUUAUUCAUUUAAAUCAGAGAAUAAUGGUUGUUCUAUUUAUAUGAAUAAUAUCUUUUAUGGUCAUGCACCCUUGAUGAGUGGUCUGUUUUUACUAAAUCUUGAUAGUAGUGAUACACAUAUUCAUAGUGUUGAGGCCAAAAGAUAUAAGUUUAAUAGUGAUAGUGCAACUUAUUUGUGGCACUGCCGUUUAGGUCAUAUUGGUGUAAAGCGCAUGAAGAAACUCCAUGAUGAUGGGCUUUUGGAAUCACUUGAUUAUGAAUUACUUGAUGCUUGCGAACCAUGCCUCAUGGACAAGAUGGCUAAGACUCCAUUCUCUGGAACAAUGGAGUGAGAAACAAACUAAUUGGAAAUAAUACAUACUGAUAUAUGUGGUCCGAUGAGUGUUGAUGCUCGCGGUGGGUAUCGUUAUUUUCUUACCUUCACAGAUGAUUUGAGCAGAUAUGGGUAUAUCUACUUGAUGAAACAUAAGUCUGAAACAUUUGAAAAGUUCAAAGAAUUUCAGAGUGAAGUGGAAAAUCAUCGUAACAAGAAAAUUAAGUUUCUACGAUCUGAUCGUGGAGGUGAAUAUUUUAGUUAUGAGUUUGGUCUUCAUUUGAAACAAUGCGGAAUAGUUUCGCAACUCACGCCACCUGGAACACCACAAUGUAAUGGUGUGUCCGAACGUUGUAACCGCACUUUAUUAGAUAUGGUGCGAUCUAUGAUGUCUCUCACUGAUUUACCGCUAUCGAUUUGGGGUUAUGCUUUAGAGACAGCUGCAUUCACGUUAAAUAGGGCACCAUCAAAAUCCGUUGAGAUGACAGCUUAUGAACUGUGGUUUGGCAAGAAACCCAAGUUGUCAUUUCUUAAGGUUUGGGGCUACGAUGCUUAUGUGAAAAAGAUUCAACCUGAUAAGCUCGAACCCAAAUAGGAGAAAUGUGUCUUCAUAGGAUACCCAAAGGAGACCGUUGGGUACACCUUCUAUCACAGAUCCGAAGGCGAGAUAUUCGUUGCUAAGAAUGGAUCCUUUCUAGAGAAGGAGUUUCUCUCGAAAGAAGUGAGUGGGAGGAAAGUAGAACUUGACGAGGUAAUUGUACCUACUCCCUUAUUCGAAAGCAGUUCAUCACUGAAAUCAGUUCCAGUGAUUCCUACACCAGUAAGUGAGGAAGCUAAUGAUGAUGAUCAUGAAACUUCUGAUCAAGUCGUAGGUCAACCAGAGUAAGAUCCGCACCAGAGUGGUACGGUAAUCCUGUUCUGGAGGUCAUGUUACUUGACCAUGACGAACCUACGAACUAUAAGGAAGUGAUGAUGAGCCCAGAUUCCGCAAAAUGGCUUGAGGCCAUGAAAUCUGAGAUGGGAUCCAUGUAUGAGAACAAAGUGUGGACUUUGGUUGACUUGCCCGAUGAUCGGCAGGCCAUAGAGAAUAAACGGAUCUUCAAGAAGAAGACUGACGCUGAAGGUAAUGUUACUGUCUACAAAGCUCGACUUGUUGCAAAAGGUUUUCAACAAGUUCAAGGAGUUGACUACGAUGAGACUUUCUCACCCCUAGCGAUGCUUAAGUCCGUCUGAAUCAUGUUAGCAAUUGCCGCAUUUUAUGAUUAUGAAAUUUGGCAAAUGGAUGUCAAAACUGCAUUCCUUAAUGGAUAUCUUAAAGAAGAGUUGUAUAUGAGGCAACCAGAAGGUUUUGUCGAUCCAAAAGGUGCUAACAAAGUGUGCAAGCUCCAGCGAUCCAUUUAUGGACUGGUGCAAGCCUCUCGGAGUUGGAAUAUACGCUUUGAUAGUGUGAUCAAAGCAUAUGGUUUUAUACAUACUUUUGGAGAAGCCUGUAUUUACAAGAAAGUGAGUGGGAGCUCUGUAGUACUUCUGAUAUAAUAUGUGGAUGACAUAUUGCUGAUCGGGAAUGAUACUGAAUUUCUGAAUAGCAUAAAAGGAUACUUGAAUAAGAAUUUUUCAAUGAAAGACCUCGGUGAAGCUGCUUAUAUAUUGGGCAUCAAGAUCUAUAGAGAUAGAUCAAGACGCUUAAUUGGACUUUCACAAAGCACAUACCUUGAUAAAGUUUUGAAGAAGUUCAAAAUGGAUCAAGCAAAGAAAGGGUUCUUGCCUGUGUUACAAGGUGUGAAGUUGAUUCAGACUCAAUGCCCGACCACUGCAGAAGAUAGAGAGAAAAUGAAAGUCAUUCCCUAUGCUUCAGCCAUAGGUUCUAUCAUGUAUGUAAUGCUGUGUACCAGACCUGAUGUGUACCUUGCUAUUAGUUUAGCAAGGAGGUACCAAAGUAAUCCAGGAGUGGAUCACUGGACAGCUGUUAAGAACAUCCUGAAAUACCUGAAAAGGACUAAGGAUAUGUUUCUCGUUUAUGGAGGUGACAAAGAGCUCGUCGUAAAUGGUUACGUCGAUGCAAGAUUUGACACUGAUCCGGGUGACUCUAAGUCACAAACCGGAUACGUAUUUUUAUUAAAUGGUGGAGCUGUCAGUUGGUGCAGUUCCAAACAGAGCGUCGUGGCAGGAUCUACAUGUGAAGCAGAGUACAUAGCUGCUUCGGAAGCCGCAAAUGAAGGAGUUCAUAUCCGAUCUAGGUGUCAUACCUAGUGCAUUGGGUCCAACGAAAAUCUUUUGUCACAAUACUGGUGCAAUUGCCUUGGCAAAGGAAUCCAGAUUUCACAAGAGAACCAAGCACAUCAAGAGACGCUUCAAUUCCAUCCGCGAUCAAGUCAAGGAGGGAGACAUAGAGAUUUGCAAGAUACAUACAGAUCGGAAUGUUGCAGACCCGUUGACUAAGCCUCUCUCACGAGCAAAACAUGAUGAGCACCAAGACUCCAUGGGUGUUAGAAUCAUUACAAUGUAAUCUAGAUUAAUUAACUCUAGUGCAAGUGGGAGACUGAAGGAAAUAUGCCCUAGAGGUAAUAAUAAAGUUGUUAUUUAUAUUUCCUUAUAUCAUGAUAAAUGUUUAUUAUUCAUGCUAGAAUUGUAUUAACCGGAAACUUAGCACAUGUAUGAAUACAUAGACAAACAGAGUGUCCCUAGUAUGCCUCUAUUUGACUAGCUCGUUAAUCAAAGAUGGUUAAGUUUCCUAGCCAUAGACAUGUGUUGUCAUUUGAUGAACGGGAUCACAUCAUUAGAGAAUGAUGUGAUGGACUAGACCCGUCUGUUAGCUUAGCACUAUGAUCGUUUAGUUUAUUGCUAUUGCUUUCUUCAUGACUUAUACAUGUUCCUAUGACUAUGAGAUUGUGCAACUCCCAAAUACCGUAGAAACACUUUGUGUGCUAAAAAACAUCACAAUGUAGCUGGGUGAUUAUAAAGAUGCUCUACAGGUGUCUUCGAUGGUGUUUGUUGAGUUGGCAUAGAUCGAGAUUAGGAUUUAUCACUCCGUGUAUCGGAGAGGUAUCUCUGGGCCCUCUCAGUAAUGUGCAUCACUAUAAGCCUUGCAAGCAAUGUGACUAAAUGAGUUAGUUACAGGAUGUCUGCAAAAUGGAGGAGGAUAUUUCUGUCAGUGAACAUAUACUCAGAAUGUCUGGGUACCACAACCACUUGACUCAGCUGGGAGUUAAUCUUCCUAAUGAUAGUGUCAUUGACAGAGUUCUUCAAUCGCUACCACCUAGCUACAAGAGCUUUGUGUUGAACUAUAACAUGCAAGGGAUGAACAAGUUAGUUCCGAGCUAUUCACUAUGCUGAAAGUCGUUGAUUCAGACAUCCCUAAGGAGCAUCAAGUGUUGAUGGUGAAUAAAGACACUAAUUUCAAGAAAGGCAAGGGAAAGAAGGGAAACUUCAAGAAAGGUGGCAAAGCAGUUGCUCCUCUCAUGAAGAAACCCAUGGUUGGACCCAAGCCGGAGACCGAGUGCCUCUAUUGCAAGGGAACUGGCCACUGGAAGCGGAACUUGAAGGAAAUAUUCCCUAGAGGCAAUAAUAAAGUUGUUAUUUAUAUUUCCUUAUAUCAUGAUAAAUGUUUAUUAUUCAUGCUAGAAUUGUAUUAACUGGAAACUUAGUACAUGUGUGAAUACAUAGACAAACACAGUGUCACUAGUAUGCCUCUACUUGACUAGCUCGUUGAUAAAAAAUGGUUAAGUUUCCUAGCCAUGGACAAAGAGUUGUCAUUUGAUGAAUGAGAUCACAUCAUUAGAGAAUGAUAUGAUUGACUUGACCCAUCCGUUAGCUUAGCACGACGAUCGUUUAGUUUACUACUAUUGCUUUCUCCAUAACUUAUGCAUGUUCCUAUGACUAUGAGAUUAUGCAACUCCCGAAUACCGGAGGAACACUUAGUGUGCUAUCAAACGUCACAAUGUAACUGGGUGACUAUAAAGAUGCUCUACAGGUGUCUUCGAUGGUGUUUGUUGAGUUGGCAUAGAUCGAGAUUAGGAUUUGUCACUCCGUGUAUCGAGAGGUACCUUUGGGCCCUCUCGGUAAUGCACAUCACUAUAAGCCUUGCAAGCAAUGUGACUAAAUGAGUUAGUUAUGGAAUGUGGCAUUAUGAAACGAGUAAAGAGACUUGUCGGUAAUGAGAUUGAACUAGGUAUGAUGAUACCGACGAUCGAAUCUCGGGCAAGUAACAUACCGAUGACAAAGCGAACAACGUAUGUUGUUAUGCAGUUUGACCGAUAAAGAUCUUCAUAGAAUAUGUAGGAACCAAUAUGAGCAUCCAGGUUCCGCUAUUGGUUAGACUGGAGAUGAGUCUCGGUCAUGUCUACAUAGUUCUCGAACCCGUAGGGUCCGCACGCUUAACAUUCGGUGACGAUCGGUAUUAUGAGUUUAUGUGUUUUGAUCUACCGAAGGUUGUUCGGAGUCCCGGAUGUGAUCACGGGCAUGACGAGGAGUCUCAAAAUGGUCGAGACAUAAAGAUCGAUAUAUUGGAUCACUAUGUUUGCACAACGGAAUGGUUCCGGGUGAGUUCGGGCAUUUACCGGAGUACCGGGAGGUUACCGGAACCCCCCGGGAGGUAUAUGGGCCUUAUUGGGCCAUAGUGGGAGAGAUAAGAAGGAAGCCUAGGAGGGGGCACCCCCCCCCCCAAGCCCAAUCCGAAUUGGGUGCCCCCCUUUCCUUCCUCCUUCCUCCCCCUUCCUUCCUCUCUUAGUCCAACUAGGGAAGGGGGGAAUCUUACUCCCGGUGGGAGUAGGACUCCUCCAGGGCGCGCCAUAGAGGGCCGGCCCUCCCCCUCCUCCACUCCUUUAUAUACAGGGGAGGGGCACCCCAUAGACACACAAGUUGACAAUUGUCUUAGCCGUGUGCGGUGCCCUCCUCCACCAUAAUCAACCUCAGUCAUAUCGUAGCGGUGCUUAGGCGAAGCCCUGUUCCGGUAGCUUCAUCAUCACCUUCAUCACGCCGUCAUGCUGACGAAACUCUCCCUCGACACUCAGCUGGAUCUAGAGUUCGCAGGGCGUCACUGAGCUGAACGUGUGCAGAUCGUGGAGGUGUCGUACCUUCGAUGCUAGGAUCGGUCAGAUCGUGAAGACAUUCGACUAAAUCAACCGCGUUGUCCUAACGCUUCCGCUUACGGUCUACGAGGGUACGUGGACAACACUCUUCCCCUCUCGUUGUUGUGCAUUAUCAUGAUAGAUCUUGUGUGUGUGUUGGAAUUUUUUUGAAAUUACUGCGUUCCCCAACAGGCAUCAUGCUGGAGAUAGAACUGCUCACAAGGUAUUGCGAUCUGGAUUUUAUUGGCCUACUCUCUUUAAGGAUGCUCGUAAGUUUGUCUCAUCAUGUGAUGAAUGUCAAAGAAUAGGUAAUAUUGGUAAGCGUCAAGAAAUGCCUAUGAAUUAUUCACUUGCUAUUGAACCAUUUGAUGUUUGGGGGUUUGAUUACAUAGGACCUUUUCCUUCCUCUAAUGGGUAUACACAUAUUUUGGUUGCUGUUGAUUAUGUUACUAAAUGGGUAGAAGCUAUUCCAACUAGUAGUGCUGAUCACCAUACUUCUAUUAAAAUGCUUAAGGAAGUUAUUUUCUCAAGGUUUGGAGUCCCUAGAUAUCUAAUGGCUGAUGGUGGUUCACACUUUAUUCAUGGUGCUUUCCGUAAAAUUCUUGCUAAGUAUGAUGUUAACCAUAGAAUUGUAUCACCCUAUCAUCCUCAGUCUAGUGGCCAAGUUGAACUUAGCAAUAGAGAAAUAAAAUUAAUUUUGCAAAAGACUGUCAAUAGGUCCAGGAAGAAUUGGUCUAAGAAAUUAGAUGAUGCACUUUGGGCUUAUAGGACAGCAUAUAAAAAUCCUAUGGGUAUGUCUCCUUAUAAAAUGUUUUAUGGAAAACCUUGUCAUUUGCCUCUUGAGUUAGAACACAAAGCAUAUUGGGAAGUUAAAGAACUCAAUUAUGAUUUCAAACUUACUCGUGAAAAGUGGUUAUUUGAUAUAAGCUUAUUAGAUGAAUGGAGACAAGCAUAUGAAAAUGCAAAGUUAUUCAAAGAAAAGGUUAAAAGAUGGCAUGAAAAAAGAAUUCAAAACGUGAGUUUAAAGUCAGAGAAUAUGUUCUUUUGUACAACUCUCGUUUCAGAUUCUUUGCAGGAAAACUCCUCUCCAAAUGGGAAGGCCCCUAUGUCAUCGAGGAGGUUUACCGGUCCGGUGCCAUAAAAAUAAAUAAUUUCGAAGGUACUAACCCGAAGGUUGUCAAUGGACAACGAAUAAAGCAUUAUAUCUCAGGUACGCCUAUUAAUGUUGAAAGCAUAUUAUCCAAACUUUGACACCGGAAGAACACAUAAAAGAGUCCUUUCGGAACACUCCAAAAUCGUCAAAAUAAGGAGGUACAUGAUACGAUAAGUAAACAGACUCCGAAAAAUCUGCAAAAAUAUUUUUUUAUCAGUUUUGGAAUAUUUUAAAAAUUUGGAAAUAAAGAAACUCCCAGGAAGCGUCCCCUGGUGGGCACAAUACACCAGGGCACGCCAAGCUUGCCUAGCGCGCCCAGGUGGGUUGUGCCCACCUGGCACACCUCCCGUACUCCGUUUUUCUUCCAUGUGCUUGUUCUCCAAGAUAAAAAAUCUAUAUGUACUUCUCGAAACCUGUUAACCACCGUAUCGCGGAGAAAAUCCUCUGUUCUCUUUUCUUGCUGUUUCUGGUCAGAUUUGCCAAGCUAGGCAUCAUGUCGUCCUGCUCCUCCAACCACAUGGAAGAGGAUGCUUGGCUGAUGAAGAUCGAGACGAAGAGGGAGGAGCCCACGGAUGCUAACAAGGGAGACAAGGGCAAGGAAACUACUAUAGAUCCAUCCCCGGUGGCAACACAAGCAUUGUUGGCCGAGGAGGAGGAGGAGGAGGAAGAUAUCCUUAAACCCUAUCUUACUCACCUUACUCCUGCUGAGAUUGAAGCUUUUCGUGUCUUUGAAGCAGUUCAUAUACAAAAUAAGAAUCUCACUUGCAAAAAUAUUCUGCAUCAAGAGCAUAUUGCCUAUCUCUAGAGCGACAUCCGUCGGCUGCAGGAUCUCUUGACCCUUAAGGACAAGAUCUCUUCCUCACCACCAAAGGAGAACUAAGUAUCGAGUAUGGGCACUCCCCUUGGCUUCCGCCAAGCUUGGGGGAGGUGCCCCGGUAUCGUAUCAUCCCACUAUCUUUUUACUUUUACUUAUUUUAGUUCAAUCUUUUGCUUAGAUGAAUAAAGUUUAGUUCAAUCUUUUCUUCUUCUUCUAGAAGUUUGCUUAGUGAUCCAUCAUUGCAAUCAUGUGCAAGUUAUAUAAUGAAGCUAGUUUGAGUUUUUACUUUCAUUACUUUCAUGUUGCAAAUAAAGAAAAGAAAUAAAAAGAGAAAGGAAAUAAAUAAAAGAGAGGAAAUAAAUCAAUAUGAUCAUACACUGAUCCUAUGGUAGGUGAUAGCACCACAUAAGGAAAAGUAUAAGUAAGAAACUUUUAUUAGAGAUUGACAAACAUAGCAUUAGCCAAUGAUGCAACUCAUGAAAGAAUUAAUAAGGGAAGAGAAGAUUCACAUAUAGAUAUACUAUCCUAGAAAUCUUUUGUGAUUGUGAGCCCUCAUCAAAAUAUUAUAUGCCAAAAUUGUUGAGUUAGACAAGGAAGACAACUUAAUGGUUUAUGUUUGUUUAUAUUCACAUAGAAGUCAUGUUGUCAUAGAUCCUUUAACAUGUGAUGCCUGCCCCCUAUCUUUGCUAGCCAAAAAUUCUAUACUAAGUAGAGAUACUACUUGUGCAUCCAAAAAACCCUAAACCCAAAUCUUUUUCAAGUGUCCACCAUACCUACCUAGGGAUUGAACAAGAUGCCUCAAGUAAGUUGUCAUCGGUGCAAAAAGGCAAUAAAAUUGCUUCUAAAUAUGUGAGAUAUUUUAGUGUAAGAGAAAAUCGAGUGUUACACGAACUUGGAUGACAACGAAUAAAAGCGACAGACUGCAUAAUAAAGGUUGUCAUCUUAAGGGGCAAUGUAACGUGACGUUCUUUUGCACUAAGGGGUUGAGCAUACAAACAAAUAAGCGCAUGGCAACCUCUGCUUCCCUCUACGAAGGGUCUAUCUUUUACUUUUAUGCAAAAAGUCGAAGUUUUCUCUCUAUUCCUUUUUAUUUUUCUCUUUUUGACAAGCAUCAUAUGGCGAGGAAAGAUCUAGGCACAUAUGUCCAGUUGAAUAUAGAUGGCAUGAGUUAUUAAUGUUGACAUAACCCUUGAGGUGAGUAUGUUGGAAGGCAAAAUCGUAAGACCCUAUCUUUCUCUGUGUCCGGUUGAAACGUUUUGUUCAUGGGUACAAGGUGAGUGUUAGCAAUCAUAAAAGACUAUACGAUGGUUGAGUAUGUGGACUUGCAUUAAAGGCUCCGACUCGUGACUCUUCCUGAAAAGAUGACGAAUUGUAGUUGCAAAGUUGACUGAGAACAUAGUUAAUUGGUUUCUAAUAAAGUUUUUGCUUUAUACUUCGAUUUUGUGAUGAACUAUUACUUAUUCAUAGGAAGUAUAUGAUGAAAGUUCUAUGAUAAAAGUCCUUUGUUUAAUCUUGUUGUUGCUAUAAUAAUUAACAUGAUGCUUCUAUGUCCAUAUUUCGUUUUUUAUCGACACCUCUCUCUCAAAGCAUGUGGACAUGUUUUUCGAUUUUGGUUUUCGCUUGAGGACAAGCAGGUCUAAGUUUGGAGGAGUUGAUACGUCCAUUUUGCAUCAUGUUUUCUUCCUGUUAUUUACAAUGUUUUUAUCCAUAAUAAUGCUUUUUGGAGUAAUUCUAAUGUCUUUUCUCUCAUAACUUGCAAGGAACACGCCAAGAGGGAGAAUUCCGACAGCUGGAAAUCUGGACCUAGAAAAGCUACGCCAGGCCACCUAUUCUACACAACUCCAAAUGGGCUGAAACUUUACGGAGAUUUUUAUGAAAUAUAUAAGAAAUAUUUGAGCCAAUAAGUACCAGAGGGGGGCCACCAGGUGGGCACAACCAACCUGGGCGCGCCCUAGUGGGUUGUGGCCUCCUCGGCCCACCUCCGGUGCCCAUCUUCUGGUAUAUAAGUGGUUCUGACCUAGAAAAAAUCAUAAUAAUACUUUCGGGACGGAGCGCCGCCGCCUCGAGGCGGAACUUGGGCACGAGCACUUUUUCCCUCCGGCGGAGUGAUUCCGCCGGGGGAACUUCCCUCCCGGAGGGGGAAAUCAUCGUCAUCAUCAUCACGAACAAUUCUCCCAUCUUGGGGAGGGCAAUCUCCAUCAACAUCUUCACCAGCACCAUCUCAUCUCGAACCCUGGUUCAUCUCUUAUAUUCAAUCUUGUUACCGGAACUAUAGAUUGUUGCUAGGGGGUGACUAGUAGUGUUGAUUACAUCUUGUAGUUGACUACUAUAUGGUUUAUUUGGUGGAAGAUUAUAUGUUCAAAUCCAUUAUGCAUAUUAAUACCCCUCUGAUCAUGAGCAUGUUUGUUGUUUGUGAGUAGUUACCUUUGUUCUUGAGGUCACGGGAUAAAUCAUGUUGCAAGUAAUCAUGUGAAUUUGAUAUGUGUUCGAUAUUUUGAUAGUAUGUAUGUUGUGAUUCCCUUAGUGGUGUCAUGUGAACGUCGACUACAUGACACUUCACCAUAUUUGGGCCUAAGGGAAUGCAUUGUGGAGUAGUAAAUAGAUGGUGGGUUGCGAGAGUGACAGAAACUUAAACCCCAGUUUAUGCACUAUUCCGUAAGGGACCGAUUGGAUCCUAGAAUUUAACGCUAUGGUUAGGAUUUAUCAUUAAUACUUUUUUCGUAAUUGCGGAUGCUUGCGGGAGGGUUAAUCAUAAGUAGAAGGUUUGUUUAAGUAAGAACAGCACCUAAGCACCGGUCCACCCACAUAUCAAAUUAUCAAAGUAGCAAACACAAAUCAAACCAAUAUUAUGAAAGUGAUUAGAUGAAAUUCUGUGUACCCUCAAGAACGCUUUGCUUAUCUUAAGAGACCGUUUUGGCCUGUCAUUUUCCUUAAAAGGAUUGGGCUACCUUGUUGCAUACUUGUUACAAUUAUCGUUACUUGCUCGUUACAGAUUAUCUUGCUACCAAACUACUCGCUACUUAAAAUUUCAGCGCUUGCAGACAAUACCUUAUUAAAAACUACUUGUGAUUUUCUUUUGCUCCUCGUUGGGUUCGACACUCUUACUUAUCAAAAAAAGCUACAAUUGACCCCCUAUACUUGUGGGUCAUCAAUACUCAACUUAAUUAUUAGGGAAACAAUUAGAAUUGAUGGCGCUCAUCGCUCCGAGAGCGUGACACACACCCAUGGUUAACAUAAUUCUUCUUCACCCAAGCACAUACCCAUUCUCCUAUCUCUUUGGCUUCUCUAUGUCAUCAUUGCGCCUCGAUAUCAUCUUUUGAUGCUCCUCCUCCCAGCCCUCAUUGUUGCAAGGCAUAGACGACCUACAUUAAUGCCAGCCACCGCACUACAAGGACAGGUGCUAGCGUUGCAGGCGGACCAAUCACUCAUAGUGUGUUAUUGCAAGCCGGCCAUUGGACGCUAUAAGACUGGCACUGGUGCUUCAAGCCAUAGCAAGAUGCUAAAAUGGGGCCACCACUGAUGCUUCAAAGGGACGACGACGGUGCUGCAAAGGACUAACUCCAAUGUUGUAAGCUGACCGAUAAUGCUACAAAGCUUGUUACUGUUCUUCGGUGCCAACAACACUCACAGCGGUGGCGAUGACACCCAAAGUUCACACGCGAGCAUGCUGGGGGAGGCGUUGCGGAGGGGGGUUUGAUCCAACGGUUACCUUCACCUAAUCCUACGAUGUGUGAGGCGAUCGAGAGGGGGCUCAUAUCACCGGGCUUGGGGCUAGCACUGCCCUAAGUUUUAACAUGUAUGGAACGCCAUAGGAAAGAUACUAUAAAAACAUGACUAAUCUUGAGGGCUAAAAAGUGAUAAGAAGUCCUUAGACAUAAUAUGUGUGCACAAAAAACUUGUACACAUAGCAACUAAAAGCGUCUUAAGAAUACCGACCAUUAGAUAUUUUUUUCUUUUAGCUGAUGCUGAUAUAUCAUCGUGUAAUCGGUGGAGACCAUACUCAAACCUCCUCUUGUGUGCGCCCUCUGCGAUCUGCCGCCACCUAGCCAACCAGAGCAUCCCAUGUUAUCCGUUCGCCCACGCAUAAUGUGCCUUCCCUCGGCUCCCUUUCGUUUCUUGGCAUGUUCCGCCUGAUCCUGGAAUUGUGCCAGGAUCGUGUGGAAUAUACCAAGUAGCAAUCGCGUGAGUCAUUAGACAUAGCGUCAUGCACGGAUCAGGAAUGGGAUGCUUUGAUUAGACAGGUGUCGGCAGAUAGCAGAAAGUGCACACGAGGAGAUUUGUGUACAGUCUCCACCUCUUUUUCCCCCAAACAAUAUCAGUGCUGUUUUACUCACAUAGGGUCACUCGAUCGUUGUGCGACGUUCCACGAAUUGCUGCCUAGCUAGCUUGCCAUCGUGUGUACGUAGGUACAUGCGUGACCACGACGCAGAGAUGAGAUAUAGAUCACGAACCCCAUGGACAAGCGCGUACGUGGAAGUUCUCGUGUCUUAAUUCAUUUCUUUCCUAGCUAGCUGUGCAUGCAGUGACUGUGUCUCUACGUUGCUUUGGUUCCCUAUGUCACCUUGAUCAAUGUGCUGCACUGUACAUGUAGCUCUUCAAAUACGCCAUCCCUCGGCCCGUAUAUAUGUGAUCUUUUACCCCGUGUGAUUUCCAUGCUGUGUACGCCUUCCUACAUACGCUGUAAUUAUACGGUCAAUCAUGUUACGUAAAGAUCCUAUAAUACCUUUGCAGAAAACUGUCUGUGACUUAUAUAAGCACUUCCCCGCAAGAAAAAGAGACUUAUAUAAGUACUUCCUUUUCUAGAAAACGCAUAUAAAUUCUAAUAGUCGUACAUUAAUUGUCUAUAUUUGUUACUGCCUAAUCAUAUACUACCUUCGUCCUAAAAAUAAGUAUUUAAAGCUUAGUACAAUUUCAUAUUAAAGUUAAUAUAAAGUUAAGACAUUUAUUUUGGGACGGAGGGAGUAUAUAGAAUACAGGAGGUACAUCAUACCGAAGUGCUACACCUUUUUUUUCCUUUUUGCGAAUGAAAUGUUACAUCUUAACCAUAUAUCCAGAAAGUUACCAGUCGUCUGACUGGACAGAGAGUUGACAACGAGCUAGCUAUAGCUGGUUAAGUAAUUUCAAGACGAGAUGCCACGCAAAGUCACUUAGUAGUAACACAACUUUCAAAUUUACCUAGGCUGAGAUCUCUAAUCGGGACGAGUAAAGUAACAAAAGUCAUUCCUACGGCCAAGACAAGAUCACAAAGAUUAGGCAUUAAUCUAAAGCGCGGCGCAAAUAAAGUAAGGCGAUUUGCAGGGAAUAGAAGAAGAAUGGAGAGAUUGGGAUUUGGGGCGAUGGAAUUAGAGUUUAAUUCCCCUGUUCCCCUGACUCCCACGUGCAAAGUCCAAACUGGAGCACAGAUAGUCUACCACUCUACCGCAUAGUACUACUUCUUACAGACUAACCCUCCUUGCUCACUUGCUCUCUCCAACACAUUUUUCUCUCUCAGAAAGAACAAACACCGAUAAUCGGCCUCGAUAAUUUUGCAUGGCAGGGGCGCAUCUGCAAAAGAUCACACAAGAAUGAUACAUUACUGUUCCAGAUGGAGACACCAGGUUGCUCCUUCUGAGGCCAGUUUUGGGGCAGGGUCCCCUAAUCAAGGGACAAUACCCCCUUCUUUUCAUUUAGUCCUUCCAAAACUGCCCCAAGACAUGCCUGGUCCAUAUUAUUACAUGUGCAUGGACGCUAGUAUUGUGAUCCUAUCAGUAUGGUCAAUGCUCUCGUAAAGAAUUUAGCUACCUAUAUAGUAUGGCACCAAUGGCCAGCUCAAACCCAUCCAUGCACAGCACAGGCAGUAUAUACAACAUUUUAUAGACCUAGGGUUUGUCUCUGGUGAGCAUCUUGGACUGGCUAACCCUGCUGCCUCGCCGCUUCCCCUUUCCAUAUAACCCGUCACAUCCUCCUCACUUCCCUUGCACCAUCGUCUUCCUCCUGUUUCUCUUGUUUCUCUAUCUAUCUAUCCUUCGUUGCUGUGGGGAGCAACCAGGCGGCCGGGCACAAAAGGCAGCAGGAGAUCUCCAAGGUGCGUGCUCUUCCUCUUGUACUUUUUUACCUCUAUCUAUGCAUGAUGAGGAAGGUAUAUAGAGGAAAAAGGCUGUUAAUGUGAGAGGAGCUUCUGAUUUGGUUUUGCUGACUGGCUCCACACAUGGUGCUUGCUUCUUCUUCUCAGAUCGAUCUUAGGGCCGGCGAGGGAGAUCGAGAGCCAGCAUGCAUCCGAGUGGCGGCGCGCUGUCAGUGCCACCGGGCUUCCGGUUCCAUCCGACGGACGAGGAGCUCCUCUACUACUACCUGAGGAAGAAGGUCGCCUAUGAGGCCAUAGAUCUUGACGUCAUCAGGGAGAUCGACCUCAACAAGCUUGAGCCAUGGGACCUCAAAGGUAGGCGACCAAGCCGGCCGAGGCCCCCAUAUUCAGGCAGCUAACAAUAAUCUGAUGAUGGGGUAUUAAUUAACUCAGAUCGUGCUGACAAACUAUAUGCAUGUGUCGUGUCAUGUAAUGGCAUGGCAGAUCGGUGCAGGAUAGGCACGGGCCCUCAGAACGAGUGGUACUUCUUCAGCCACAAGGACAAGAAGUACCCGACGGGGACGCGGACGAACCGGGCCACCACGGCGGGGUUCUGGAAGGCCACGGGCCGCGACAAGGCCAUCUUCCUCGGCAGCGGCGCCAGGAGGAUCGGCAUGAGGAAGACGCUGGUGUUCUACGUCGGGAGGGCUCCCCACGGCAAGAAGACCGACUGGAUCAUGCACGAGUACCGCCUCGACGAAGACAACGUCGAGGUCCAGGUAGGCAAAGCAUUCAUCAGACACAAACUGAAAGCAAGUCUCACAGAUACUGGCUGUCUUUUCUUACCAGUAUAAUUUGGUCCGAAAUGCAGGAAGAUGGCUGGGUGGUGUGUAGGGUUUUCACCAAGAAGAGCUACACGAGAGGCAUGAACCCGGCGGAGAUGGCGGGGUUCGACGACGACGAGCUCCUCCACCCCUUCCCGGUCCCAGCUUCCGCCGCCGGCGCGAUGCAAAUGGCCACGGACCAGAAGCACAUCAUGCACAACCCCGGCCACCUCAUGCAGCAGCAGCAGCAGCACUACGACUUCCCUUCCUUCGACGCGUCCAUGCAGCUCCCGCAGCUCAUGAGCGCCGAGCACGAGCAGCAGACGCUCUCCUCCUUCCUCCCCGGCGCACCAGCCGCCGUCGCCAUGAGGCCGCACGAGCUCGAGUGCUCACAGAACCUGAUGAAGCUCACGUCGAGCGGCACCAUCGGAAUGCUCCACCAUCACGGUGGCGGUGGCGGUGGAAGCGACGCCCGCUUCCCCGGCACGGAUUGGUCCAUCCUGGACAAGCUCCUCGCCUCGCACCAGAACCUGGACCAGCUCUUCCAGGGCAAGGUUGCCGCCGCAGCAGCAGCAUCAAUGGCGCCUUACCAGCAGCACCAGCAGCAGCUCAUGGAGCAACUUGGAGGCAGCAGCACCUCCUCCAUGCAGAGGAUGCCACUGCAGUACCUCGGCUGUGAGGCCGCCGACCUCCUCAGGUUCUCCAAGUAGUUAAAUGGAGCUUUGCCUAGCUAGCUGCCAUGCUAUAGUACUGUUGAUCUGAUCAGCUCCUGUUUUUCAUGUUUUUGUUAAGACCUGGUUCAUUUGAUCGUCGAUCUACCUUGGUACGGAAUGCGUCUAAAUGUGUAUAAAGGGAAUUUUUGUAUAUGUCGCUUCGAGUUUGCCUUAAUUUGUUUAACCUGCAAAAUUUGGAGCAAGUAUUAUUUAGCUACGCUAUGCUUAUUAGAGCAGAUAGGUCAGUUAAUUUGCUCCACUAAGGUGGUAUAUUCAUUCAACAAAUUAAUGGCAAACUCGAAGUCACAUUUACAAAGAACAAUCUAGCAAUGCAUACGCGUUGUGGAGCUAGCCUGGUUGGACACAAUGAGGAUAUAGUUUUGAGGUUUCAAUUUGGCUGGACUUGCUUCGUAGGUUUCUUGUUGGAGAUCAGUGUGAAGAGAGAUAGUGGGGCCUUGGGGGCUGUUUAUAUGCCCUGUACUAUGGGUACUUGUUCCCUUUCAUGACUUCAGAGUGUCUGGUUUCCAUUUUUUCCUGUGUUUACUAAAGAUGGUUGUUACAGAAAUUGCUUGCAAUUAUUUCAAUGAGAUUUGGUUGAAUGAAUAAUUAGUAUUUGGAUUAACAAAUGAGAAUUUGGAAGUAAAAUACAUACAUUUUAUUGUAUUUAAUUAUUAUAUCGUUGUAGGAUAUUUAUGAGCAUGCAUGAUGCAUGUAAGGUGGGCCUUUUCCCAUGAGAAUUAGAGCUAGUGAGAAUCAACUAUUUAGGUAUACAGGAUAUAGGAUUCAGGGGUGCUCAUAAAUGAUUUGAUUUGUAUAGAUCAAAAACAUCAAUGGAUUAGAUUUGAAUGGUAUCAAGCUGAGGCUUGAAUUUGCUUUUUCAAAAUACUAAGAUCGACGUGGGAGAAAAAGUUCAGGAUUAGAGCUAAGAACAUUGGUUCAAUGACUUUAUGAUAUUUUUCAUGAAAAAAUAAUAUGCUUAGGGAAGAUAAAUAGUUUAAUUUGGUCAUCUGAAUUUUGGAACUGGGGUAAGGUGAAGAAAACAUAUGAUUUCUUGUUUUUGUGAGGAAUGAGAAUGUAUAGUUUUGUUUACUAUUCAUGAUAAGAUGAUCAUAGAUAUUUGAGACACAUAUCAGUGGUUACCAGAGAUCUUAUUAACUAUGAAAGAAUCUUCGUGUUUGAUUUUCCGUUCUGUUCAAGCGAUAAAAGGGGAGUAUAAAUCCAAAUUAAACAUAAGGGUGAGCUUUUUCAGAAAAAAAAGUUAUACAAGUUCAUUCGAAAACAUAAGGAUAACAAAAUUCAAAUAACUAAGGAAAAAAUAACUCAAUCCUUCACACAAAAAUACUUACUUAAAUUUUACGACUAAAACUUUUUUUCAUGAGAAAGGGGUAAAAUUGUUUUACUCACCAUGCAUGGUAAACAGUUGAGAGAAUUUUCUGCAAUGGAAUAUAUCAAGCUAGUCUUGUUAAGUUGCGCAAUGGAAUAUAUCGAGCUAGCCUUGUUAAUUUCCACAAUAGAAGGUGAUGUUUUUUUUUUCUAAUAUUGCAUGUUGCUGAAGGUGCCAUAUUUCAGAUUAACUCAACGUCAAAAAAAUUGCGAAAUGGAUUAAGGCCAUAUAUUAAGUAUCACAAGUCUUUGCAAACACACCCUUACAUAAAGAAUUUACAUCCAGUUCCUUAGGUGUGCCAAAUCUUCUUCCUUCUGCAUCCUUUGUAAAUAUCAAGGCAAGAUUGCUAUAGUAAAUGUGUUGGUUUCAUGUGUCAAGCUUUUGAUCCAGCAGGGUUUGUAUCCGGGAAUGACACUAGAUAAACUUUGGACCUUUGUGUUUUGGCUAGCCAAAAUGAGUAGAGUAAGGUUUUUCUAUUGAAGUAAUUUUGUCAAGUUCCAAACCGUUUCCUCUCCUGACCCUAGCAGGAGGCGAUCUUCGGCGCACCACGCUCCUCCGUUGGUCGGUCGCCGUCCCCCUCCUCCUCCGCUGGCCCUACAAUAAAGUCGUCUUUGGUGACGCUUCGUUGAUAGUGGCUUUGGUGUCUACCGGCGAAUAAUUAUUCCUUGAGAUAUCCCAUCUCGAUAGUGCUUCCUACGACGUUGAUGGUUCACGAGCGUUGAUGGUGAGGCUAGGGUUUGCAGGGUUUGUCGGCGGCGGCGGCUUCCCUUCGUAGUUGGGUCGUCCGGCCUCAUCGUUGUCACGUAGGUUUGCCCUCCGUACGCGGUGGCAGUGAGGCAUGCAAGAUUACUUGGAGGUCAGUCUCUUUGAUCUACAGCUCUUCUAGUUGUGAUGGCUUCUUCUCCAGGGCGAUGUUUCGAUAUGUCCAUGGCCUUGAGGAUUUGCAGUCCGCGGUAAACAAUGUUGGGCUAGCUCCGGCUCGAGCGGCUUGCGACGGUGCAUGUAUUGUCGGGCCGUUCAAGAGGAAGAAGAGAGUCGCCCCGGGGACUUCAAUGUAACUUCUUAGUUUACAGGGUUGUUUUUAGCGUUGGUUNNNNNNNNNNNNNNNNNNNNNNNNNNNNNNNNNNNNNNNNNNNNNNNNNNNNNNNNNNNNNNNNNNNNNNNNNNNNNNNNNNNNNNNNNNNNNNNNNNNNNNNNNNNNNNNNNNNNNNNNNNNNNNNNNNNNNNNNNNNNNNNNNNNNNNNNNNNNNNNNNNNNNNNNNNNNNNNNNNNNNNNNNNNNNNNNNNNNNNNNNNNNNNNNNNNNNNNNNNNNNNNNNNNNNNNNNNNNNNNNNNNNNNNNNNNNNNNNNNNNNNNNNNNNNNNNNNNNNNNNNNNNNNNNNNNNNNNNNNNNNNNNNNNNNNNNNNNNNNNNNNNNNNNNNNNNNNNNNNNNNNNNNNNNNNNNNNNNNNNNNNNNNNNNNNNNNNNNNNNNNNNNNNNNNNNNNNNNNNNNNNNNNNNNNNNNNNNNNNCAGAAUUAUAUUAUUGGUAUUUUUGUUUAACUUUUAGAUAAUUAUGUUAUUACGGUAGGGCUUUUUUACCAGAGAGCUGAGUUAAAAGAAGUGCUAAAACUACACACAAAAAUCUUGGUAUGUCAAAUAUGUGCAUUUUACCUUAUCAACAAGAAUUGGUGACUUUACAUCCAUGCUUAUAAACAGUUGGAACUUUGCCCUCCUAAAUUGGACAAUUAGGUCACUUGUUACCUUUUUUCUUUUCUUCCUUGCGUUACAACUUCAGAAAGGUCUUUUGAGUUUGAAUAACCGGAGUCGGAAUCUCGCUGCCAUUAUCCGGUACUCGCAUGAUCAACUGUUGUACAGUGCAGGUGCAAUUCAAUUUGAGCCCUGCACUAAGACCAAUGAAUUUACCUAUUUAUCAAACAGCGUUACAUUAAGAGAAAGCAACGCCAGAUGCGUCACGCUUCCUCCUCCUCACCGUCUGAGUUAACUAAUCGUCUCCCCACGCACAUCAAAGCCCCUGUUGAUGAGCACAUAUGAGCAUAAACAUAUACUCCUCCUACUGAAGCGAGUACCCUUCUCUGUACUCUUACAGAAGAAAUGGCAGCUGCCGCGUUGCAAUGUCCAAUGCAGCAGCAUCAAGUCAGCAGCCGUCCGUGUCCAGGCUCAGACUCCGGUUAACCGGUGCAUAGUCAAAUAUGUACGUAGCAAUCAAUCAGCCACUUGUGUUGUUUCUUCACGUAAAAAUCUAGUAUAUGUACCAUACACGUAAUCAAUCAAUGUUGUAAAAGAAUAAUGGAAGUGGUGGUUGUUACAGUAUCGCGUGGACGGCUAAGCUUACAACAAAGCCUAGCAAGGCGCCGGCUGUGACCUGCGCCUCCGUGUGGCCGACGGACUCGCUCAGCCGGCCAUGCUCCUCUGUCAACUCGGUUAGCUCUGGCACUGAGCUUUGGAGGGAGCUCCAUCUAGGCGGUUUUGUCGCGUCGUUGCGCGUCGAGGAGGGGAUGCCGUUUGAACGCUGCGACGUAGAUGCGUCCCGAGGAACGGAGACGAGCUCGCGGUUUGCGGGGAGGAGUUCGGAGGUGGAAUUCACCUGGCCACCACCGUCCUCCUGAACUUGAGUCGUCGUCUGCUCCCGCAGGGCCCAUAGCUUGUUCAAAAGCCUUGCGUGCUUGCCCACCUCUCUUCUGACUCCCUGUUUAAUAAAACAACAAAUAAGCAUGGGAUGAGCAUUAGCUACGGUGGUUUUAGUAUUUCCUUGUGAAAGCGCACAACGAAAUUCUAAUCUGCAACGACGCUAUCAAGCUUCAUGUAAGAUUUUUUGCAGGCCAUUAACAAAGGUCAGAUUUAGUUUGGCAUAAAAUGCAGUAUGGAUGAUAAAUAGAUGGGAACAUGUACCGGCCAUGUACCCUAACAACUUGCAACAGACAGGGAUACCCACUACAGGGCCUCACAAAGAAAACAUGGGUACUAACUGAACUGGUCAAACUUUUUACAGCUGCAUCCCACACCAGGCUGAGAAGAAAUUAACCAUGUUCAAAUGCACUGACGAAGUCGGUGGCACCGAUAUAUGCAAUUACAUAGUGGAGGCUAGAUUAUGGCAUGCACUGGUUUUAGACGUGCACAGAAUCAGAAGGGGGGGGAGGGGAGUGUUCACAGACUGAUGCCCUGAAAGUCACAACUCAUGUAAAGGUACAGGAUAGUGCUUCAUACUUCAGCGCAAGCUGGCAUUUCUUUUCACUAGAAUAUGUCAGCUAAUAGCAGGGGCAUCCUACAUGCAAACUACAAAGUGCAGCUCACCAUGUUCUGUCUUUUUUGGACGUGUUGGGAUUGCAAGCAAAGUGUGAGGAAAUUAGAGGCAGUCCACAUGGCAUGUCUACAAGAUUCAAGAGGGCAGAGGCAAAAAGCAAAUGUACCAGACCAAUAUCGUUCCUUAAUGGAUGUUCUUCUUUUUUAUCUUAUGUGUGUGAAACAUGAUUGUUAAACAUCUAACACCUUUGCCCUUCCAGUUUCAUGAAAAAGAAACCACAACAGCAACAGCAACAGGGAGAUCUAGGCCAAUACAGCAGAGAUGAAGAGUCCUCUGAGUAUCAAGGGAGUUACAUUUCUGAUAACGAAAUAUGUUCCAGUAUUUAUACCAAGUCUCAAUCAAAUGAAUCCCAAACUUGAGUUUUGCAAGUUUCGUGAAGAAACGCAACAGAAAUGGGGAGAUCUAAGCCAAUCAAUACAGCAGAAAUGAAGAGCCCGCUGGAUAUUAAUAGAGUUACAUUCCUGGUAAUGCAGCAUGUUCUCAUGUUCGUACUAAGUCUCAAUCAAAUCAAUGUCAAACUUAAGUUUGCAAUACUUUGGAAUUUAGCAGAUUGGGAUUGCAAAAAAAAAAACUGAGACACAACACCCGAUCACCGGCAACUUGAUGUUGAUAAAUGGACAGAUUGAUAAUUUAGCAGACAUAAGAGAGAAAAUAAAAGCAUUAAAUCUACCAUACCUGAGCAUCAUACAUUACAAGCGAGGCAAAUAUCACCGACAUCCCGAAUAUGGAGUCACCAAACCCCCUGCAUUCUAAACCCCGAAUCAACAAUAAAAAAACACAAAAACUAGGGGCAAAAACAAGCACAAACAUGUCAGCCCUGAUCUAAAGCAUGUUAAAGAAGCUAACCUUUCUAGCGCAAGCGAGGUAGUCACUGCCACAACUGCCUACAACAUGAGGAAUAAUAGUUAGAACCAUUCGAAAUUUCAAUUGUCACUUUGGCAAGAAUUAAUAGUUUUACCUCUCAAAAAUAUAUGAUUGUACGCUUGAAUAAGAACUAACAUGUUGUGAUAAUACCUUGCUCCAUUCCUAUUCCAUAGUACAUGUUUCCUGAUGUAACUUUUUCUUUUUACUAACAAAGCAACUCAAGAAUCCAAACACCAUUCUAAGUGUUGAUUUGUGAUUCUAAUUAUGACAGUGCAAAUGGAAAGCAUGAUGAUGAAUGGGAGCAUAGAGUUGUCAGCCUCUGUACAUAGGGACAGUAGUGUGUACGUAUUUAUAUAGUUUCUGGAUUUAUUUCCUUUAACAACUCACAGUAAUUUGGUUGCCUUAUAAUGCCUUCGUUGGCCAUACAGGAUUAGUGGACGCCUUAUUGUAAAACUCCCUGGUUGUAACUUUCCUCAUAUAGUUGAAAGUCACAUCUGUCCCUGUGCAUCUCAUGAUUUGGGUUCACCAUUUUAAAUACAUGUCUCACGUGUCCUUAAUUUUAUUCUCUUUUACGAUGUGUUUGUGUUGUGCUUGCACUCCAGAAGCCUCUAUGAAACAAACUCAUUAGAUAGAUGCCCACAAAUUAAUUAUUCACCGCGAUAGAUAAGAGAUAUACGACCGACAAAUAAAAAUCUGCAACUAGAUGCAGGCACCGCACAACCCAUUGUGAAAGUACAUUUUGUGAGUUCUCACAAAACAAGAAAAAAAUAAUAAAUGCACAAAAGUACAAAAGUGUGAUCACUUGCGAGCCGUACAAAGGCACAAAAUUGUGUGUACAAUUGUCAAUUGGUACUCCCUCUGUUCACAAAUAUAAGAUGUUUUAGAUAUUUCAAUAUGGACUACAUACGUACUGAAAUGACUGAACAAACACGCAAAAACGUGUCUAUAUACAUCCGAUCACCAAAAAGUUAAAACAUCUUAUAUUUGUGAACGGGGGGAGUAUGUUAUAAAAUGCAGUACGGCCGUGAUUUUCUUUCGAACUGUUUUCAAACUUCAAUAUGCAUAUUCACAACAUGGGGUGUGGAUGCAACUAAUUGUGGAAAGUCCGCAUUUUCUUUUUAUUUCCAUUAUUAACUUGUUGCCCUAGAAUUUGCCCAAAUUUCAUAAAGUACCAUGUUGUUUAUGUUUCCAUAAAGUACCAUGACCCCUGGUUCUAACUUUCCUCAUAUAACUAACAGUCACCAUUUUAAAUACAUGCCCCGUGGGUCCUUAUUUUAUUUUUCUCUUAUUACGAUGCUUUUUUUAGCAGUAAUGCUUCAUUUCGAAUUGUAUUGUGCUUGUACUUCAGAAGCAAUUCAUGAAUUGUAUUGUGCAGGCACAGCCUAUUGUGAAAAUACAGUUCAUGAGUUUUCAAAAAAAAAAAAUACAAAUGCAUAAUAUGCUGCAGUAUGAGCAUUUACAAAAAUAAAUCAUACAAAAAAUGUGAUCACUUGUGAACCGUGCAAAGAAACGAAAUCGUGUAUGCAAAACUGGUAUAUAAAAUGUAGUACAACCAUGAUUUUCCUUCAAAAUGUUUUGAAACUUCGAGAUGCAUAUUCACAAUACGGGGUGCGGACACAAGUAAUUGUGGUCCACGUUUCCGUUCUAUCUCCAUUCUUAAUUUCUUAUUACUUGUUGCCUAGAAAUCAUGCAGCCCAACUUUUUUUUAUAAAGCAUUAUGCUGCUUCAUUGUUGCAAUGGAAGGGGUGAAAAGCCUUUGUUGUUGGCUCUAAUUCUCUUCCAAAGUUUGACCAACAAUAGAUAAUAAAAACAAUCUACAUCAGCAAUAUAACAUACCGAUCAUUAGAUUUUUCAUUUGAUGUUAAAAUGUACUUUUCAUCAUCGUAUAAUGCUACUAGUACAUCCAAAUGUAAAGUACUAUCCGUUUAUAAAGUUGCACAGAAAUGCAAUGGCCAAAAUAGCCUCUGGAAGGAUUGUUUGACCCCCGUAACAGGAGCACAACCUUAUCCCAGGGAGGGCCUAAGGAGAGCCAAACACGCUCUUGCGCACUACAGUGCAAACCGAAGGAAUCAAUGAUCAGUAGACGAUGGUCUCACCGCUGAGUGGGUGGAGGGCAUGCCCCCUGACUGGGCGGCGGCCUUGACGAUGUCGAUUUUGCCCCUGUCCCUGCCGGAGGUGAAGGGCUUGGCCAGCUGCCCGAUCACGCCCGCCACCGUCGCCGCAAUCAAGACCUUGAAACACGAGCCGAGUCCUUAGUCGACCGAAAAACCAAGGCGGCAGCCCGUUAAAGCUGGUUGCGGCGAACCUUGUUGUGCGCGAGCUCGGCGACGUCCUCCGGCCGGAAAUGGAGGGAGGACGCGGCCGUGAGGGCCCGGCGGCGCCGCGGCCCGCGCCUCGGGGGAGACCAGGAGGAGGCCGGGGAGGAGGGGGAGGCGAGCGCCGGGGAGGGGGGCGGGCGGCGAGCGGAGAACGACUGGGCCAUGGCCAUUGGGUUCCCGGGAGGCGAUGGCUGCGUGCCUGCCUGCCUGCUCCCUGCUGCCUCCCGCUUCCCCCUGCUGCCUCCCGCUUCCCCCUGUUAUUGAAAGAGUCGGACUCGGACCGGACCCAAAUGGGAUCUCUCUUCUUCCCUGUGAGGCUGUGACCUUCCUCUUGUUUUAAUUUCGUCUUAUCAUUGUUGGCCUCAAGGGCUUAUAAGUACUGCCAUUUGCAUCUCAAGGGCUUAUUGGCAUCAAAAAAAAUCUCAAAGGCUUAUCUGGAUUACAGGAACUUAUUACUCCCUUCGUCCAGAUGGAUAAAUCAUCUUAGAUUAUGCACCGCGAUCAAGACGAAGGUAAAACGAGAGAACUUAAUGUUUAUUUGCUAAUAAAUAUCAUUGCAUGCAAUGAACUGAUCACUGCAUGUCAUUGAAAACAUACACGCUCCACAUCUUUUAUUGGUUGAUUCAUUUAUUUAUGUCAAGAAAUAAGGAACGAGGUAAGAGUUAAUGUACCGCGUCUUAGUGUUUUUGGAUUACUUGGUUUUUAUAAGGUGACUUAUAGUCUUUUUAGAGAUUACAACAAGGACUAUAUAUGAAGCAAAAUGAGUGAAUCCAUACUUGAAAAUAUGUCUAUAUACAUUCGUAUAUAGUCGGCGUUGAAACCUUUAGGAAGACGUAUAUUUAGAUAUGGAGGGUAAUGCAUAUCAAGCAGGUAUUCCAAACGAAACACAAAUGUGCUUUCAGAGAAAAAAAACUGAAAAUAUUUUGUAAGCAUCAAUUCAUAGAUUGUUUUCUUUCUUUUUAAGGGAAGGUCAUCAUGGUUAGCUUUAUUAAAAAUUAAACAGGGUCAAACAAGGAUAAACUCUGAGCACAUGGUCCACAAGGAUGUAGCACAUGGUCCACAAGGAUUACAUCGUCACAAGGUUGACGCCCUUUUUAUGAAGGGUGAUUUGGAAAACUCUGGCCACGUGGAACAGACGAAACCAGGCCUAAGAAGGGGUCAAGUGCAUGCAAAGACCAGAGUUUAGUGGACCAACCGCUGGAUAAGAGUAAGAUAAUGGCACGGCAGUGUGACAGCGAAAGCUCCAACGACCAAAACAGUUGGAAAGACAACCAAAAUCACAGCACAAUGUAACCUACGCCAUCAAGAACGACUCGAACCACGCAUGAGAAAGAAAAGAGAGAGAGAACAUCCACCAACAAAAAAAGAACUUAUGGAGGUUCACGAAAUCAUUCCAUGAUCACAUAUUUCGGCAAGGCAGGGCACCCACCCAUGCAUCACAUGUUCAGCCUUCACCACUUUCGGUCAAGUCACAUGUAAGGAAUAUUCAGGAAACGGGGUGCGGCGGUUGGUGAGUUCUGGGGACCAAAAGAGAAGAGUUCCAUAUCAACAUGGCUCUGUGCAAAACGGUUAUUGGUGCUCCACAAAAAGGUGCCGCUGGCGGGAAGCGAUAUCAGAAGACACCAC
rnacentral:lncRNA from 1 species